rnacentral:lncRNA from 1 species
UAGACUCUAAUGCCCACUUACAAUCAAUUGGGCUCUGACCACUGUUAGAGGAUGAUGGUAGUUUAGGAGAUUUUAGUGAUUAGGGGUUGAAAUGAAAGUAGUCUGAUAGUUAAGAUUUUUAGUUGUAAUUUGGAAAUGGUUGAAGGAUAUGGGAUAUACAAAGCAAAAUCUUUGUUGAUAGGAAAUAUAAUACAAGGAGGAGAGUUUUAGGACAAAGGUUUUAAGCUUAGCAUAGUUUUUAGUUUACCUUACAAGUGAUGGUUGCAUGCAUGGCUAUUUAUAGCCGUCUUAACCAAUCUAAAUGAAACAAUCUUUCCGGCCAUAGAAAAUUCCAAAGUUCUUUGAACUGUGGACAAGCAUUCUUUCAUUUCUAGAAUAUUCCUGGUGUUUGUUUGAUUUCUCUAUAACUUUCCUAACUUAACUUAGUACUAAAUUAUAGUUUGUAGUGUUUUCUUGAAUUGAUCUCUAAAAUCUUCUUUAGGUGUAUUCAUAAUUUAACAAAAUGAUUGGAAUGCUGCUAUAGCCAGCUCUUGGUAAAAUUAAAGUCAACAAGAAAACUUGUUUCCAGAGAGAUGACUACAAAGAAACAAACUAGCUUGCAGUUUUUCUUAAUUAAGCCGUUUGAGAACCCUAUAAAGAACUAUUCCUUGUUAAAAAUAAAAGUAAAUUAGUAUCUGUGUUUUGCUUGUUUGGUAUAUAGAAUGGAACUAUUAUAAGAACAUAUAAUAAAGGUGAAUUCUUAUUUAUUACUCUUAAAAGAAUAAAAUAAAGUUGAUAGAAUAAAACGUCAACUAUUUGUCAAGUCCUUGUCCUUGUAAAAGUUACAUAUUGGAGAGCAUCAACUAUUUGUCAAGUCCUUGUCCUUGUCCUUGUAAAAGAGACAUAGUGGAGAGGCUAACAACGGCAGGUCCAUUCAGCCCAGUAGCUGACGGCUGCCUUAGUUAGUUUUCUCAUGUAUUAAGUUAUGUCCACAUUAAUUUACAUUAGUCCAACUGUACGGUCACAAAAUAUAUUAAGAUAAACUCAUUGUAGCAUUGUUUUUUACAUGUCAGUAUAAAUGUAUAUAUUGUGUUGUGUUUUCUAUUAUGCUAUCAAAGCCUCUAGCUUAACUACAUAAUCCGCUAGAUGUGUUUCAGAUGUUGUAUUAUGUUCAACCUAAAAGAAAAGUCGACAAGGAAACCUUUUUGUUUUUACAAUGAAAACAACUAAGAAUCCCAUUUAUUACUGUUUGAGCAACACGUCCGUCGUUAUUUCAUCUAGCCUAAAGUUGAAUUCAGAUGAAAAUCAUGGAAUUAAUAUGUUAGAUGAGGUGGAUAGCAAGAAGGAACAUGAAUUGCAUCAAGAGUGGUGUUUUUAGAAUAAUAUUUUGUAUUCGGAAUUACUGAGACACUACCAUAAAUUCGCUAAAUACCAACGGAUUUACAGACGGAAUAUUUAUGUCGGUAAUUUGAGGUCGAAAUUACCGACAGACACUUCUCCGUCCGUAAUUCAGUCGGUAACUACCGACGGACCAUUUUCCGUCCGUAAAAUUUCCAUUGGUAGUUACCGACUGAAUUACGGACGGAAAAGUUUUCGAAUUAAAAAAAAAAGGCGGGUCACUAACAUGGAGGUUUUGGCGGGUUAUUUUUUUCCGACGGAUUCAAAACGACAGCCUGUACAAUGACGUGACCGGUUCGCCGUUUAAAUUGCCGACGGAAUCACCGAGGGAUUUGAAAUGACAGAUCCGUACGGUGACGUGUCUAUGUGUCCGUCAGAAUCACCGACGGAGUGUCCGUCGGUGAAACCGUCGGAAAAAGUUAAUAUAUGUACAUGUCAGCUCUGCUGACCCUCUCCUCCCCUAUUUCUCCUUCUUCUUCCUAAUCCCAACUCUCUCCAUCUGCAAACAACUAAGAAUCUCAUUUAUUAUUGUUUGAGCAACACGUCCGUCGUUAUUUCAUCUAGCCUAAAGUUGAAUUCAGAUGAAAAUCAUGGAAUUAAUAUGUUAGAUGAGGUGGAUAGCAAGAAGGAACAUGAAUUGCAUAAGAGUGGUGUUUUUAGAAUAAUAUUUUGUAUUCGGAAUUACUGAGAGACCCUAAAAAAAAUUCUAAAUACAAAAAAAUAAUUCAACCCUUGAAAUUUAAUUCAAUUUCAAGGAUUUCAAACAAUUUGUAAGUUUUAUAAUAUGUAAUCCAUUCAACAUCUUUUAUAUUUGUUUAUAUCUUUGUAUUUUUUAAUAUGAAAUAUGUUCACUAACAUGUAAGAGGCUCUCAGAAUAAUAUGAUUUUAUAAGAUUCAGUUUUCUUACUACUUGGUCAUUUUAUAUUAUAUCAAAUAACUAUUUUAAUUUAAAAAUUUGAAUUGUUUAAAUUGUUAGGUGAUUUUUCAAAAAAAAAAAUUUAAAUCAACUGUCUAACAUUCCAUACUAUCUUCACCUAUCUUACCUUUUUUUAAAAAAAAAAAUAAUUAAAUAAUACUCGGUAUUGAUCAUUUAAAAUACACUUUUCCUUUUCAGUUAAUUCUUGCCGAUGAGCUCCUUCUUUGAUAUUUUGUUCAACAUUAAUAGUUGAAUCAACCCAAUUUCAGAAGAAUAUAUUAUUACUUUGUUUUUUUUAUACAUUAAGAACUUGAUUAAUUGAUCAUUACAGAAAUAAAUAUAAUUAGAUUAGAUUUAUGUCCUAAAAAAUUUUCUUAGUUCGGUGCAAAAAAUGUAUUCCAUUUGUUAAACCAUAACAUUGCAGCUUGAAAUCGAGAUUCACCUUCGUGCUUGUAAAAUAAACAAAGCGAAGAAGAAGAAAGUAAAUUAUUCUUUGUUUUCCCUUUUCCUUUUGCUAUAAUCCUACUUUAAAGUUGCAGUGUAAUAAUUGUAGUUAUGUACGAGAACAAUUAAAGUAGGAUUAUUCCAAAAGGAAAAGGGAAAAAGAUUAAGAAUUCAGAAUUCACUUUCUGCUUUUCUGCUUUGUUUAUUUUAGAAGCAAGAAUGUGAAACUCGAUUUCAAGCUGCAAUAUUAUGGUUUAGAAAAUGCAAUGCAUUUUUUUUUAUACUGAACUAAGAAAAAAAUUCUGACAUAAAUCUAAUCUUAAUAUAUUUAUUUUUAUAGUGAUCAAACAAUCAAGUUCUUAAGCUAUAAAAAGCAGAGUAAUAAUAUAAACCUCUGAAAACGGAUUAAUUCAGCUAUUAAAAAAAUUAUCCCUAUAAAGGAGGAGAUCAUCAGAAGAAAAGGUGGAUUUUAAGAGAUCAAUACAAAGUAUUAUUUAAUUAUUUGAAAAGAAAUAGAAAGGUAAGAUGGGUGCUGAUAGAAUGGAAUAUUUAAAAGUUGAUAUAAAUGAUAUAUGUAAAUUAUAUAAUAAUUAGCUAAAAACAUGUUAUGCACCCGUUUCUUUUUAAUUAAAAGGAAAAUUAUCAUGAUGCAGUAAGAUAUAUAUAUAUAUAUAUAUAUAUAUAUAUAUAUAUAUAUAUAUAUAUAUAUAUAUAUAUAUAUAUUUCAAGUGAAAGGUAUGGCAAUUAGGACUCUUUUAUGGAAUAAUAUAGAUUACAAUUUGGCAUACUAAAGCUAAUUCUUAUAUGAAGCAAUCAUACCAGUAUGGAUCUAUUAAAAAUAGAGUGUGUAGCAGAUUGGAGUACUAAGUACCCGAAACUUGUUAUGCUAUUAUUGUAUUUUUUUUUUUUUUUUUUUUGUUAUGCUGGAUUUCCAUCCAUUAGAUGAAAUACUCUAUAUAAUUCAUAAAAAAAAUCCUCUUGUUUUUAUUAUAUUCUUAUAAAAGAAAUAAAUAAAACUUUAGCUUUAUUAUAUGCUCGUAAUAGUUUCACUUUAUAAACUGAACAAGCAAAAGACAGAUACUAAUUUACUUUUUUUUUAACAAGGAACCAUUCUUUGAAUGAUUGCAUAUAUAGGGAUCUCAAACGGUGUAAUUGAGCAUUUUAAUAUAAAUGAAACCGCAUUAUCAUUGAGAUAAUAAUAAUUAGGUUAAAAUAAUUUUUAUAUUUUUAUCAUUUAAUGAUUGAUAUGUAAUUUCAAAAAUUAAAAUGUUACAAUAAUAAAAAAUUUAAUUCUAAUUAAAAAUAAUUAUUAAAUUAAAAUUUCAAUUUAAUCAAGUCGAGAUCCAACCAUCUCUCCAAGCUCGAUUUGGCUAAACUAAUUCUCUAAAUUCAAUUAGGUUAAAGCCCUAACCAAGCCUCUAAGCUUGGUUGGCACACAACCAAAUCAAGUUUUUUUUCUUUUUUUUUUCUUCUCUCUUCCCCCUCGCUCUCUCACUCUCUUUUUCCUUGGCUAGGACCUAAUCGAGCUCUACAGCUCGGUUUAAUCGAGCUACUUUAGCUUAUCUUAGUUUGUUAUUCAUAAAUAGUAAUAUACGUGAUAUUGUUUAUGAAUAAUAUUUUUUUUCACUUGUAUAUUUUUGGAAUUCUUUCUAGAUAUUGUUUAAAAUUAUAUAUAUUCUUAUUUUUUUAAAAAAAAAAGGAUUGAUACGAACAACAUUACACUUAGCAUCUCUUCUCUACAUGUACCAAAUAAAAAGAUAUUUCAUCGUCUUAAUCAUUUUAUCAAACAAAUGCAAAUACUAACUCAAAUAUUGUAGUAUUUCUACUAGGGGUAUCUUUUGAUGGAUAAACAAAAGUCUAGAACUCAUCAACUAAAAAAAAUAAAUUAUUUUUCUGUCAAGUUUUUCCACGAAUUUAUCAUAUAUUCUUGGGGAUUCGGACUUCAAAUUUGGCAUCGGCACUAAUGAUGUAGUAGCCAGUGGCGCUGAGAAUGGCACAUAAUUCUGGACAGUGAAAUUCUCUGAAUCAAUUGUCUGAGAUAUUUCCUCAACCUUUACCAGUGGCAGUGAACCCCAUGAUAGCAAUGGGAACAAACCCGCAGAAGAUGUGUGCCUGCAGCGGCGCACGAUCACUAUGUAAGUGAAAAGUCACCACGUACAGAGAAAAAUGAAACGGAGUCGUGAGUUCGAAUGUGUGUACGACCUCUAGCCUAGUUUGGCUUUUAAUGGCUAAGUGUAACUUUUUGUGGCACGGAUGAGAUUUGGCUUGUAUGAUAGUUUGAACUUUACCUUGCUUACCUGGUUUUGUUGUGUGUAUUUAUGUACUUGGUCUUUUAAAAAAUAAUUCUGUAGAAGAAAAUAUAUAAUUAGUAGAGAAAUUAGUGAUUGUUAGUGUUAUCGGGGCCUGGGAGGCGGCGUUGAUAUCUUUAGUGAGUUUUUAGAAACGCGAUUGUAGUUGUUUUUUUAAAAAAAUAAUUUUUUUUGUUAAAAAUUAAUUUUUUAUAUAUUUUUUUAUCGUUUUGAUGCAUUUAUCUCAAAAAUAAUUUUUAAAAAAUAAAAAAAAUAUUAUUUUAAUAAAAUAAAUAUUUUAAAAAGAAACCAUAACUGUAUUUUUAAAAUAAAUUUUAGACUUGACUUAAGAGCUGGGCACUGAUGUACACCAUUGGCCCAAGCAUCGGACUUCCAGCUUGGCCCAAGCAUUAGGAUUUUUUUAUGUAUAUAAAAUCGGCCCCAUUAGGUACAGCAAAAAUAAAAAUAAAUAAAAAUCUCUCUAUUUAGGCCUAAGUAGUUGUUAAAGCCCAUUAUAUUACUCCGUCAGACCAAGAUCACAAUGGUAAAAAGCCCAAUCAAAUCUGCAGUUUUCAUAACUUCAUAGUAUAUAAUGACUUAGUUUUAAAUUACAAUAAUUCUUGGUUUUAAAAAAAAUCAAAAUUUUAAUUGGUAAAAAACCUUGUGUUAUCAUAUUUUCUUCAGGGGAUUAAACCAUGACUAAUUAAGAACAUAUCUUCACACUAACUUCCAGGUAACAAAACUAUUAUCAAAAUAAGUAAUCUUUAUAUAUUUUCUCUAAUUUUCCUUUUACUCUAUUAAAUUUGAAAGAGUACGGUGAGAUUUAAUGUGAAAAAAAAACCCAUUAACAUUCAUUUAAUUUUGCUCAAUAUUUUAUUAGAUGGGAAAUCCACUCUCAAAAGCAGCUGGCAUUUCAGCUAGAAGUUGAAGAGCAGUUAUGCCAUUUCUGUCCUUCAAGCUGUGAAGCGAUUCAUCCAGUUCUAGCAAAAGUAAAGCUGUAUCUGCAUUCAUGAAAUUAGACAUUCAAAAAUUAUACACACACACACACACUUUUUAAAUUAGAAUUCUAUAAAGAGAGAAAUAGUUACCAAAGUGUUGCCCUAUGAUAGCAGCGCUAAGGAUGGACAGGCCAUCUUCCGAUCGCUUGAUGUGAAUUGACAAAAGGCGGUUUUUAUCAUCCACGCAAUGUUUUGGUUUGGAACGGAUUAAAAACUCCACUAUUUCUGCCUCACCAACUCCAGCAGCUGUAAACAAUGGGGUUUCACCGUAGUUAUUUUUUUUCCUUAAGGAGGUCUGGACAACGUUCUACCAAGAGUCUUACAGCCUCAUAAUUCCCAUAGAUGGUUGCCUCGUGAAGAACCGUAUUUCCAAAUUUGUUUUGUAUCUUGAGAAAAUCUUCCUCAGUUAAAGGUGAUUCUUUUACCUUCACGAUUUCAAGUAAAUCUUUAAGUGGUUUCUUUUUGUUGCUGUGCACAGCUAGAUGAAGUACAGUAUCCAAAGAGUGCGAAACUGGAGAGAAAAAAUAUACGUAAUGUUCCUCAUGAUAGUAAUCGAUCAUGCUUUUCCAAUCUCCACUCAUGGCUGCUCCAUAAGGUUUUUCAAGUAUUACCGGAGAACCCAUAUUUGCUCUCUACAUAAUGUCGCACCCGACAUCGCGGCGACCUUAAAAAUUUUUCAAUGGAAAAAAAUGGAUUUCUGACAUCCUGUUCUUUAAUGGGGAUAUUCUUUGUUUAAGGAGUCGCCACCUAGUAUUAUGGUUACUAGGAACCCUGACUGGUCAGCAGAAAUUCUAUGGUACGGGACUGGUUACGCAAAAGGAAAGAUAUUAUCACCCCUUAAACGUCCUGCCUGAGGCAGGCUGCAUUGCUGGUUUUGUCAUAAAUUGCUAACAUUUCGUUGGUUUAUGCUAUGAUGGUUUCCGUGUAAUAUUUCUGACUCUGGCGCCAGUGAAUAUUUAACUACAAAUAUUUCCAACUCUGGCGUUGAUAAAUAGUACGUAGCUAUAAAAUAAAUUUAAAUCCGUAUUUUUUAUUCCUGACUCUGGAGUCAGUGAAUAAACAAAUCAAAUAAAUUUAUUUUUUACGCAUACACAUUUUUUAUGUAACUAAAUAAAAGCAAAAUACAAUAAAAUAAAUUUACAUCAGUAUCUUUAUUCCUGACUCUGACGUCAGUGAAUAAACCAAUAAAUUUAUUUUAUUUUAUUUUAUUUUUGCAUGCAUAUUUUUUAUUUUUAUGUAAUUUAAAUAAAAUACAAUGAAAUAAAUUUGAAUCAAUAUUUUUAUUCUGACUCUGGCUUCAAUGAAUAAAAACAAUAAAUUCAUAUUUAUUUUUUUUAUUUAUACAUAGACACAUCUUUGUUUUUUUUAUUUUUUUACUUUUUUUUUAUUUUUUUUUGGGCCCAGCUCAGCCCAUAUGGGCUGGGCUAAGCCUAGCCAGCCCGGCUGGGCUGAGCUGCACUGUGCAAGUGAAUUAAAAUUCACUUGCACAGUGUAAAAGACGCUUAAUUGAAAAGGAUAGCUUGCUUACCUGGUCUGCGAGGCGAUGGAGACGGUGGCGAAGCUCUGGCUGGCUGACUACCUCCUCUACUCUUCUCCUUCUUCUGCUUUCCUUUGUUUCCUUUUGAUUCUGUGCCCGUAUACUUUAGUUUUCCCGCAGCUCCUGAGAUGACGAAGGAAACAAUAAUGAAGAUGCCGGUUUACUGUGAUGUUCUUUGAAUGAAUACUGGUCUUUCCUUUGUUUGCAGGGACGAAAACGGUUUCAAAGAUAAUUCUCGUCACUGUGUGUGUGUGCUGCCCUCUUUCUCCCUUGCUCUCUGCGUUUUUAUUUCUGCGCAUCUCUCUGUUUUUCCCCUGUUUCCCCUGCUUUUUUUCUGUUUCUGGUUACUGGUCUCUCCCCCGUUUUUUUUUUUUUUUUUUUGUGUUCUGGGUUGUUCUUCACGGGUUUUUUUCUGUUUUUUCUGGGUUUUCUUCUCUGUUUUCCCCUCGGAUCUUCCUCCCCUCCUAUCUGGGUAUAUUUUUUUCUGUGUUUAUGCUCUGUUUUGCUCUGCUUGUUUCCUCACUGAUUUUCGGUUCCCCCUCCUCUUAUUCGCAUAGAAUGGGAUCGGUAUUUAUAGUGUAAGAAUCCUAUCACUUGGAAGAAGUAAAGUUUCAAUCAAACUCAUUCUUUUUUUUUGAAAUUCAAAUUAGAAUCGAAUUCGAAAUCAGACAACUUUCAUUAUCUUGAAGGUAAGGAUUAUCUUGAAAAUAAGGAUUAUUUUGAAAGUAAGGAUUAUCUCAAAGAUAAAGAUAGAAUGACAAAAGCACAUUAUAGUCCUUAAUUUUCACGCAAGUUGACAAAUCACACUUUUCAUCGAAAUAAGUCUCUGAUCUUUUAAUUUUACAUUUUAAACCCUGUAAAAAUUAAAUUAAAAGCCAAUGGGCCAAAAUUGGGUUAUGACAGUUGCUCCCUCUUUAUAAUAUUUACUAUGCAAUGAUAUUAGAAAAUUUCAUUUUCUUUUAGUUUUGUGUAGUAAAUUUAUAAAGAAAAUUAGAUACAGAAAUAACUUUUGCUUUUUUUUUUUUUUAGUUUUGAAAACUUUGAAAAUAGUAGAUUGACACAUGACCUUUACAGAGAGAUGUAGAAAUCAAGAAACAAAUCAUUUGGGAGACGACCUUUUUUUUUUUUUGAAAUGGAUCAAAUUGUUUUAGGCAACCUGCCCAAUGAUAAAAGAAACGCGAAGAAUCGUGAGUGGUCUAAUUGUUUCAGGCGACCUGCCCAAUGAUUGAAAAAUACGGGGAUUUUUUUUUUUUGUGAUGGUAUAUUGUAAUGGGUUACCGGCCCAGAUGGUCACAUUAUAAUGGGUUACCUGCCCAGUAUAGGAUGAUAUAUUGUAAUGAGUUACCGGCCCAAAUGGUCACAUUGUAAUGAGUUACCUGCCCAGUAUAGGAUGGUAUAUUGUAAUGGGUUACCGGCCCAGAUGGUCACAUUGUAAUGGGUUACCUGCCCAGUAUAAGAUGGUAUAUUGUAAUGGGUUACCGGCCCAGAUGGUCACAUUGUAAUGGGUUACCGGCCCAGGUGGUCACAUUGUAAUGGGUUACCUGCCCAGUGGAUGGUAUAUUGUAAUGGGUUACCGACCCAGAUGGUCACAUUGUAAUGGGUUACCUGCCCAGAUGGUCACAUUGUAAUGGGUUACCUGCCCAGAUGGUCACAUUGUAAUGGGUUACCUGCCCAGUGGAUGGUAUAUUGUAAUGGGUUACCUGCCCAGAUGGUCACAUUGUAAUGGGUUACCUGCCCAGUGGAAAAAUACAAGGAUUUUUUUUUAAAAGACAUGAUAGGGCUCGAAGGAAAUGAGGGCUUGAAGGCGCACUAGAAAGAAGGUAGGAUAGAAAAUGCACUACUUUUGAUGGUCGAGAGCUCGAAGGCGCGCUCAAAUGGAGGUAGGAUAGGAAAUGCACUACCUUUGAUGGUCGAGGGCUCAAAGGCGCACUCGAAAAGAAAUAAGACGAGGGCUCGAAGGCGCGCUCGAAUGGAGAUAAGACGAGGACUCGAAGGCGCGCUCGAAUGGAGAUAAGACGAGGGCUCGAAGGCGUGCUCGAAAAGAACUCAAAAGGAGGUAGGGUAGGAAAUGCACUACCUCAGGUGGUCGAGGGCUCAAAGACGCGUUCGAAAAGAACUCAAAAGGAGGUAGGAUAGGAAAUGCACUACCUCAGGAGUGGAAACUAAAAGGUGGUGGAAAAAUAGAGAGAUUUUUUCAGGUGGCCUAAUUCUCAUGGGCGGCCUGCCCAGGUUGAAAAAUUCUCAAAAGUGAAAAUUUUUCAAAAGCAAUUUCAAUGUUCGCCAUUUCAAGUUGGCCUUCCGCUUGAUGGAUUCCGUCAGAAUUUUUUUCUAAUAAAAUUUGCAAAACUCAUUGUCCAAUGUCUCAAAGUUUAAAUGAUAUGCAUGCAUCUUUACCUGAUUUGAAAUAUAGGCCCCCCAUUUCUUCUUAGUCUUCUCGUGGCUUGGUUGGUGAGAUCUUGCUAUCUGAUUUGAGUCAUCUUUGUCGUUUGGCUUUCUAGCCCACUCGAGUUAGCCCAUAUAAGACUUUUUCCAUAUUUGUUUGCACAACUCAGCCUUUGUGGUGCCCAUCGUGACCCACUUGCUUGCUAGAGAUUUUCUGUCUCAUCAAAUAGUUUGAGGGGAUCAUUCAUUACUCCUCGUCUCACUGAUAAAAAUAUUUGGUGUCACUUGCUGAAAGGAUCAAACUGUCUUUCGUAAACCAAAAUGCCCCCUUGUCUUGUUGUAGGAAAUGUUCCUUUUUUUUUAGAACAGAUAGAUUUUUCUUAAGCACAAUAUUCCCCCUUGUACUGGUCAUUGCCCCCAAGUGUGCCCUGUCAGCGACUUAGACAAAUAAUGGUUUUAAGAGACCAUUCUUUCAUUUCUCUCCUUUUCAGUUUGGUGAAGGAAUAUGGGUUUAGAAUUAAUCUUGAAAUCUUGAUCUUGCAUUUUGAAAACAAAAAAUUAUUUCGAUGUGAGUCUAAAACAAUUUGCUUUUGAAAUCUUGCAACUCCUUGGUUAUUUUCUUUCUUGGAAAAGAGAUUAUUUGCUCUUGUGUUUGGCAAUGAGAUCUUUGAUGAAAAUACGUCAUGAGAUGACCUUUUGUUUUUAUAGGUUUUCAAAGUGGAGGGCUCGAGAAAGAGCUCGAGGUUUUGUAUGAGAAAAACUUGUCUCUUUUUUUUUACAUUUAUUUUUAUCAGCAUGAAUAAUAAUGAGUAGUUUAUUCUUGAUGUCAUGAAUCUUAUGAAAAAAGUAUUCUUUGCAUUUUGAGAACAUUGUUUAUUGUUCUAGGUUGCUUGCUUGCUUGAUUAGAAAGGACUUCUAUAGGCAUGUAACGUAGGUUGUGGUUUUUGGCUAUGAAAGAAAAUGAUUUAUAAGGCUCAAAGAGUGUUUCAGGGUUUCAAAGACUGAAGAUCACGAUCAAUAGUUUGACUUUUGACGUCAUUCAUAUUUUCUUUUGCCACUCUUCUUUGAUUUGCCCCCUUUUUUCUUUUUCAUUGCUUUGCUAGAGCAUACUCACUUUAUCUUGGUUAUCACUUUUUCUUGUGAUUUGAGCAUGCCCCCUAGCAUUUGAGUUUCUUGGGCUCUUUUGCCUUUUGACUUUCUCAUGGCUUUAUCAUCUUUCUUAAUCAUUAAAAUUUCACUUGCCCCUUAUUUUUUUCUUGUGAUUUGAGCAUGCUCCCUAGCAUUUGAGUUUCUUAGGCUCUUUUACCUUUUGGCUUUCUCACGGCUUUAUCAUCUUUUUUUAUCAUUGAAAUUUCACUUGCCCCCAGUGUAGGGUGUGAUCUUAGUCGGGAUUUUUUAUGAAAGAAAAAUUAUUCAGGCUCAAAAAGGGAUCGCAAGGGAUGUACUUAUUUCAGAACGUGAAAAGAAUAACAAAGAUGGCCUUUUCUCAUUUCAAGCGCAAGCAGCUAUGAUCAAUAAACUUUGACCUCAUCUAGUAUGAUGGUUUAGUCUUUGCAAAGAUGCAUUUCAUGAGUUAUGAGCAACAAGUUCACUACAUACCAUUAUUCAUACAUUUAAAAACACAUGAUUCAAGAGUCAUGGGGUAAGGGUAUUUAUUCAUUUCUUUUUUCUUUCUUUUUAGAGUUUGGUCACCUCUAUGAAGGAGUUUGAUUCACUUGUCAUUCUACAAGUAGAAUGUCAAAAAUAUUGUUUUUGAAUAAACAUCAAAUUAUUUUUGAAAUCAAAAUGCCAGAUCAAUUUUUCAAAACUCCAAUAGGGAAGCUGAUUUUGGAAAAAGUAAUGAAUUGAAUCUAUGAGAUCAUGCAAGGCUUCAAGGGUGUAUGUGAGUCUUUAUAAGAAAACUCUCUCAGAAAAAUGAAUAAUGCUUGGUCGUAAACACGAUUGAAUGAUAAACUCAUUAUUUUCAUUGAAACUUUGGAAAAGAAGUUCAACAACAAAGAACUUAUGACAACAUCUUGGGCUAUGAAUACUGGCAUGAUAGCAUAUGAAGGGGCUAAACAUUUAACAAUCAUUGAUUGGAAUUUCUGGAAUCAUUCAUUCUCCUUGACAAGGGCAUCUCUUCAACAGUCAAUAAUAUCACCAUAGUUUUAUCUUCAAGAUUAGUUGAUUUCUAGGACUUGGUGUGAAGCAAUUAGUAAUAGGAACGAUAAGUGUCUUGGCAAACCACCUUCAGUGAAACCAUUCUUCUCAGUCAGGUUAGCAAUCUUACCUAACCCAAUGGCUUGUUCAAUUCUCUCAGCUAUAACAACCAGGUCAGUGAAAUGUUGUGCAAAGCUUCUAACCAACUAUUCAAAGUACGGAGCUUUAAAGCUGUUGGAAAAUAAACUGAUCAUCUCUUUUUCCAACAUAGGAAGGUUAACUUGUGCAGCUACCUCCCUCCAUCUUCGGGCGUAUUCCCUUAUGGACUCCUUGUUGUCCUUCUCCAUAGCUUGCAAGUUUAACCGAUCAGGGCCCACGUCUAUAUUGAACUUAUAUUGCCUCAUGAAGGCAUCAACUAAAUCCUUCCAUUUUUUAAACUUGGUAUUGUCCAACCGCAUAUACCAAGUGAGGGAAACAUCACUCAAGCUGUCUUGAAAGAAAUGAAUCAGCAGUUUCUCAUCAUCAACUACCUCAGCCAUUUUGUUGCAGUAUGCUUUGAGAUGAGUUAUAGGGCAUUGAGUUCCCGUAUAUUUAACAAAUUCUGGCACUCUAAAAUUUUUGGUAAUGACAACGUUGGGCACCAAACACAUCUCAGCAGCCUUUAUAGGAUCAUAUAGGUGAAUUCCCUCAAAUGCCCUCAUCCUUUGCUCUAGGGCAAUGAAUUUGGUCAGAUCAUCUUCUUUUACCAUAUUGCCUUUUUGAGAUCCUUUCUCUGUAGAAUCAAUGGUGGAAGAAAUUCUUGUAGGGUAUGAUGGUUGGAAAUGCAUAGCUUGUUGAAAUUCAGAUGACACCCUACUUGCCCCCAGAUUAUGUGGAUCGAAAUGAGUUACAUGCAUAUCUUCAGGCUGAGCUAUAAGUGUUGCUUUUCCGGAUUUAUCUCUCAAGGCCUGCUCGAGUAGACUAGUAAGCCUUGCAACUUCUUCUUUAAGAUUGUCCAACUCUUUUUGAUGUUAGGCUUCCAACUGGACUCUUUCUUCGUUUUCCAUUUUUCUCUUUCUCGAACGAGUGUUAUAAAUGGGUUUCAAUGGGGAACCUAUAUUUCAACCUGCUAAAUGUAAAUCAUGCAAUUAUGCAAAAAAUACUGAAGCAAUAAAAAAAAUGCAUAUGAAAUGUAGACUCGACCUUCACGGGAUGACAACCUAAUAGGAAGAUCCUAAUUGUUGAGUGCAUCAAAGGGUUGGUUCUUAUCUAGUUUAAAAAGGGUCUCUUGCAUGCUUAGUGAUCGUCCAUGAAAGGUCGAUAUGAGGCUUACAAGUAGUGUGAAAAUAGAGGCCCUGAGUAAUAUCAGUUUGGCAAAUCAACCAUUUCCAAGUAAACAAUCAAGCGGGAGUUGGAUGGUUUCACGUGUCUUACCCAGGCUAAAGCCGUUGGGGUAUCGUUACUUUCCCGCCUAUCCUAGAUUUUCAGGUGUGUGCUCUUAACAUGAUGUAUGACAAUAUAAACAUGGAUGGAUGCUAAAACAGUAAAUUCAGGAAAAAUAAACAAAUAAACACAAUAUAACAAACAUUAUAGCAAUUGAUAAACAAAAGGCAAAGCUUAGUCCAUUAAUCCCCAGUGGAGUCGCCAUUCUGUCGCACCCGACAUCGCGACGACCUUAAAAAUUUUUCAAUGGAAAAAAAUGGAUUUCUGGCAUCCUGUUCUUUAAUGGGGAUAUUUUUUGUUUAAGGAGUCGCCACCUAGUAUUAUGGUUACUAGGAACCCUGACUGGUCAGCAGAGAUUCUAUGGUACGGGACUGGUUACGCAAAAAGAAAGAUAUUAUCACCCCUUAAACGUCCUGCUUGAGGCAGGCUGCAUUGCUGGUUUUGUCAUAAAUUGCUAACAUUUCGUUGGUUUAUGCUAUGAUGGUUUGCGUGUAAUAUUCCUGACUCUGGCGCCAGUGAAUAUUUAACUACAAAUAUUUCCAACUCUGGCGUUGAUAAAUAGUACGUAGCUAUAAAAUAAAUUUAAAUCCGUAUUUUUUAUUCCUGACUCUGGCGUCAGUGAAUAAACAAAUCAAACAAAUUUAUUUUUUACGCAUACAUAUUUUUUAUGUAACUAAAUAAAAGUAAAAUGCAAUAAAAUAAAUUUACAUCAGUAUCUUUAUUCCUGACUCUGACGUCAGUGAAUAAACCAAUAAAUUUAUUUUAUUUUAUUUUAUUUUUUCAUGCAUAUUUUUUAUUUUUAUGUAAUUUAAAUAAAAUACAAUGAAAUAAAUUUGAAUCAAUAUUUUUAUUCUGACUCUGGCGUCAAUGAAUAAAAACAAUAAAUUCAUAUUUAUUUUUUUUAUUUAUACAUAGACACAUUUUUGUUUUUUUAUUUAUUUUUUAUUUUUUUUUGGGCCCAGCUCAGCCCAUAUAGCCCAGCCAGCCCGGCCUGGCCACUGGCCCGAGCCAGUGGCCCGGCUGGGCUGAGCUGCACUGUGCAAGUGAAUUAAAAUUCACUUGCACAGUGUAAAAGACGCUUAAUUGAAAAGGAUAGCUUGCUUACCUGGUCUGCGAGGCGAUGGAGACGGUGGCGAAGCUCUGGCUGGCUGACUACCUCCUCUACUCUUCUCCUUCUUCUGCUUUCCUUUGUUUCCUUUUGAUUCUGUGCCCGUAUACUUUAGUUUUCCCGCAGCUCCUGAGAUGACGAAGGAAACAAUAAUGAAGAUGCCGGUUUACUGUGAUGUUCUUUGAAUGAAUACUGGUCUUUCCUUUGUUUGCAGGGACGAAAACGGUUUCAAAGAUAAUUCUCGUCACUGUGUGUGUGUGCUGCCCUCUUUCUCCCUUGCUCUCUGCGUUUUUAUUUAUGCGCGUCUCUCUGUUUUUCCCCUGUUUCCCCUGCUUUUCUUCUGUUUCUGGUUACUGGUCUCUCCCCCGUUUUAUUUUAUUUUUUUUGUGUUAUGGGUUGUUCUUCACGGGUUUUUUUCUGGGUUUUCUUCUCUGUUUUCCCCUCUGAUCUUCCUCCCCUCCUAUCUGGGUAUAUUUUUUUCUGUGUUUAUGCUCUGUUUUGCUCUGCUUGUUUCCUCACUGAUUUUCGGUUCCCCCUCCUCUUAUUCGCAUAGAUUGGGAUCGGUAUUUAUAGUGUAAGAGUUCUAUAACUUGGAAAAAUAAAGUUUCAAUCAAACUUAUUCUUUUUUUUAAAAUUCAAAUUAGAAUCAAAUUUGAAAUUAGAAAACUUUUAUUAUCUUGAAGGUAAAAAUUAUCUUGAAAAUAAAGAUCAUUUUGAAAGUAAAGAUUAUCUCAAAGAUAAAGAUAGAAUGACAAAAGCAUAUUAUAGUCCUUAAUUUUCAUGCAAAUUGACAAAUCAUACUUUUCAUCAAAAUAAAUCUCUAAUUUUUUAAUUUUAUAUUUUAAACCCUGUAAAAAUUAAAUUAAAAGCCAAUGGACCAAAAUUGAGUUAUGAGACAUAAGGUUAUGUAACUAUUGUUAAUGUACAAUCUCAACUCAUACUAAUUACACCUUUAGGUGAAAUUCGAAGCACAUUUAUAUUAACUCAGAAUAUAAUGGAAAACAAAAUUAGGAAGUAAACACUCAAAGGGAACUGUACGAAUUAUAAUCAGGGAUGAUUGCUUCUAAUAAGAAUUAGCUUUAGUAUGCCGAAUUAUAAUCUAUAUUACUCCAUAAAAGACUCGCUCCUUGCCAUACCUUUCACUUGAAAUCAAUCCUUUCCACUAUUGAAACAAAUCAUCCAAUAAAUGAGUUAUGCACCAUGAAAGUCUCCACCAAUAAACUAUUUGUUCCAGAUUUUUCAAGACAUUGAAUAAUAAAAAAGGAUGUGAUAUGUAGUUUCUGACCUGAAAAUACAAAAUGAAUAUAUAUAUUCCUGCAUUAUGAUAAAAUAUUUUUAAUUAAAAAAGAUUGGGUGCAAACCCUAUUCUCUAUACUAAUCAUUAUCUUAAAUAAAAAACUUAAGUUAUUAUAUAUAUAAUUUAUAACAACUUUUAAAUGUUCCAUACUAUCAGCACCCAUCUUACUUUUCUAUUUUUUUUUUAUGGAAAAUGAGACGUAUUAUCAGUGGAAUAAUUGUUGUUCAUUAUUGGCUGUGGAGCUGGUAAUUUAUUUGGGCAAACAUAGUGUUUAUCAAUGUUAUCGAGUGCUUUUCAUAUAUAUAAAAAAAACUCAUUGGCUAGUCAUGGUGUGUGAGCAAGUCUUGUCUUUGAGGUGUGUGUCAUAAUUGCCAUUGGUAAAGACAUUGGCUAGCUAUCCAUAGAGACGAGUAGGCGCAGAAGACAUACCAGCAUGCGUAGUGUUCAAUUGGCGUAGAAAAAGUUAUCUUCUCUAGGUAGAAAAGGUUGUAUGUGCACAGAGAAAAAUAUAAUUAUAUGCAUGAAAAAUUUGUGUAUAAUUCUUGAAAACCUAAAAAAAUACAUAAAAGUACCUGCUGGGGGGUGUUUUGUACAGGGAUGGCAUGAGUUCUUGAUUUGUUUUUUUUAAUGUUUCUACAAGAGAGUAGAGUUUAAUUAUUUUUGUUAUAAUCUAAUUUUGACCUUUUUCAAAAAUAUAUCUUUUCAGUAAAUUUAAUUAAUUUUAAUCAUGUCAUUAUUUUUGCUUUUUUUAUUUAGUUUUUGUAUGUUAAAAAAUAAUAAAAAUACAUAAUUGAGAUUGAAAUUGGAUCAAUAAUUGAGUAUCAUAGCAAAAAUUAAGUUUGAGAAUAUUUGGGCUAUAAUUAAGGGCUUAAUUGAAGAAGAAAUUGAUAAAAGAACUUAAUUUGAUUUAAUUUGGCUAAGAUUAAAAGAAAAUGAAAUUCAAGGAUGAGUUUGAAAUGAAUUGCCAAUUUAGAAGAUCAAUUAUGGGUCUAAUCGAAGAAGAAAAUUGAAAUUGAGACUUAAUUUGACUUAAAAAUGAAGAAUUGAAGAACCAAAACAGAAAUGAAAGAGAGGGAGAAAUCAUAGGACAUAUUGUAAUUUGGUCAAGGGUGAAAUUGAAAGAAAUUAAGAAGAAAGAGGUGAAAUUGACCUGAAUUAGGAAAAUCCAAAGGCCAAGGACUGAAGUACAAAUGACGCUAAAACGCAGGGACAAAUAAGAAGUUUAAUUUGAUUUUAAUUAGAAAAACCUAAUUAUAAUUAAGGCUGAAAACGACGCUGUUUCACAUUAAGUGAAACAAUGCGUUUUGAUAGAAAGAGGGUUUGAAGGAAACGACGCCGUUGUUCUAAACACUGCAAAAAUUCAGGGCAUUAAAAGACGCUGGAACAACUGACUCUCAUGCAACGUUAGAGCUUGAUCUUGGUCCUAAUUGAAUCUCUUGGUGGCACAAAAACAAAAGAAACGUGUCCUCUACAAUCGUAGCACAAGAAAUCAGGUUUUAAUUCUGAGGAUCUACUACAGAUUUUGAGUCAAGCAUACCCUCUCAGUCAGCUUUUCAUCAAGAACUAUAGCCCAGCCUUUCCAUUCUUAUGCAAGAUCCAUUUUUCAAAAUUUGAUACUCUCUCCAUGAAUCAAGCAAAGAGGAAUCAAUGGCCAAUACCUAAGCUGAUUUCCAGGGCUAUCUUCAAGGAUUUGAUACUAACAAAGGCAGUGAUUUUUUUCCCCUUCUUAAAAGGAUUAACACCCGCCUAUAAAAGGAACACAAAAAAGAAAAAAAGGAGGAUCACCAGAGGGAAAAACAGAGAGGGCAUUUGCAAGAGUAAAAUCUUGAACAUGUCUUUCAAUGUACAGUUAUGAUCAGUAACAAGCUAAUUUGAAACUUCUUCAAAAGUGAAAUUAGGAACAUUACUUAUCCUUGUUAUAUAUGUGGUGGAAUAGCAUGUUGUGUGAUGCAUGGAAUUAAUUCUUGAUUGCUUUUUCUUGUUUCAUUAGUGCAAUGCUAUCCAAUAGUCUAUCUUAUGCAAAUUCAAUUUUACAGCUUCAAAAACAAAAUCAUCCAAAACCUUCGGAGCAACCAAAGAAUCAACAAAAUGUUUAAUUCGAUAAGCAACCCUGUCCAAAUCACAUGCACAAUACCAUAUCACAUUUGAGUAACUUGUUCAUUUAUAAACAUCAAGUGAAAUUCUAUAGGGGUUAAAAAUGAGAAAAAUAAGUAGCUUAUACUUAUACUUUUAGAUUGAAAGUUGUGCUCAUUCAUGUACAUGAACUCUCGUGUGCGCAGAUCUAUGCAUGUAGAGGUCUAUAAAAUCCCACGUGAAUAUCUCCACAUCCCCAACAAGUAGGGGCAGCAGGACUGAUGAUGGUUCGACUAGUAUGAAUAAUAAUGUACAUGAGGAUGUCAAAAACCAUUGAAAAAUACUUAAGAACGUCAAUUUAGUACUUUCUCAAACAAAAAGCCUUUCGAAAAACAAUAUAAAUAGCACGCAAACCAUAAAAUCAAACCCUUUUUGUACUUAUUUCACUUGAAUCAACUCAACAUUUAAUCAUAACCACCAACUUACACCCAAAUUUGUUAUGAGUAACCGAUUGAAGCAAGCUUGAAGGCCUGACAUCAUACUAGUCAAAUACCAACCUAUGACACACUAUAUAUAAUACAUACUGGCUUCAAGGCCAUCAUUGAAGAGAGGAAAACCACAUAAAUAUCACGAAAAAGGAAAAGGAAAAACCAUACACGCUAUUACACUCAAUAUAUAAUGAUCAAUGGUUGAGGUUCAAACAAACAAGAAAAGGGAAAAACCUCUAUGCCAGUUAAAUCUCCAGUAUUAAUCUUCUUGACGGAGCUAUUUUCCACCAUGCUGGGCAUGGGACAAGAAACGAUGGAUGAGCUUUCCAGGUUUUACGAGAAUGUUUAAUGUAGUGCCCAUGAAUGAGACAUACAGACGGAAUUGCAAUAUUCCAAAUAUGAAGACAGGAAGGAAUGAAGCAAUGGAAAGGAGUAAUGUUGUCAACCUCCUCUCUGUCUGAAUGAGUAUCAAAAUUGUUGCGCCAAAGGAUAGCAUGGUCGUUAACACAGAAAAGAAGAGGAAGGAGAAGCCAACAAUAAGUUUUCGAGGAAGAGAGAUGUGGAAUUCUUGUAGCUCAAAUGGAGAGGUCAACAAAGAGAGAAACACCACAAGCGAAGUCAAGGAGCUUGCUAAGGAGACAACAUCAGAGACAGUGAAAAUCAGAAAAUAGGGAGAGUUGAUGAAGAUGGGCUUGCCAUUUUCAUCAGAACCUCCGGGCACAGUAUAGGCAGCAGCAAAGACAACAGUUGCAACAAGUGCAGCUACAGUGGAACAAGACUGAGAUGUUUCCUUGAUCCAUAUCUGUGCCUUUUCCAGUUGCUUCUCGUGCGCUAUUUCGAAGCACUCUCUUGCAGUCAUUCCAUCUUUGUUCAGAAGCGGGACAUAAUAAGAAGGAAUUACCUCUUGCACUCGCUGCAAUAAUUGGGAUAUAAAUAUGGUUGUUAUUGCUAAAUAAAAUUACGAAUUACUAGAGCGCAGAUAGUUUUUAUUUGUGAAUAAUGUUAAAGUUUUUCCCUAAGUAGUUGGUUAGGAGAGCUAGUUCAGCCUGAUGUCUUAAUUAAGUUCGAGUUUUAUUACUCGCGUCUUGGAGAGGUGGCAUGUCUACCUAUCAUUAGCAUUAAAAAGGAAUCUUUUUACAGUUUAACGGUUUCUGUAAAACCUUAAUUGGAUUGGAUAAUUUGGCUGAAACAAAUGUUUUAAUAGGAUUGGUGCUCUUAUAACUUGUAUCAAGUAAAGAUAAAGGGAUGAAAAGGGUUCACCUCAAACCAUUUCAACUCCUCCUGAAGUUGGAGUGCAGGCCCAGGCUUGGUUACUUCACUGUUUUUCUUCAUAUCUGCAACAUGGUGCAACAAUGUGUUUCCCCUAUUAUCAACAAAUCGACGCAUUCUAGCCAUUGGUAUUUUCUGUUCCUUCACAAUAUCGAAGAUCUUUUUCUGGCGAUACAUGACGGCCACAUCCAAAAUGCUCCGAUUCAUUUCAUCGCGCUGGUCAAUAGCAUAAGGAUGUAGUGCUAUUAUCAGCUCCACAAUCUCUUCUAUUCCCCUUCUAGUUGCAGUAAACAAUGGGAUCUCCUUUUUAGUAGUUAAUGAUGACAAUAUCGAUACAGAAGUUUGUGCUCUUUCAGUGUCUUUUGCAGAAGUUUUUUCUCCUUUUUUAUUUUUUUUCCCGUACAUUUCUUGCUCUUCUUCUUCAUCUUCUUCUUCUUUAUUUUGGUCUUCCUCUGUUAUGGUGACACUUUUCAAUGACUCAUCUUUCUCUAUUAGGCUUGCGGCAAAUGUAAAAGCAAAUACAUGCUUUCUUUUCAGGUUCCAGAUUCUUAAUUUCUAGCCAACAUCCUACAUCAUGCUCGUGCGAAAGGGAAUGAAAUUAAACAUAGAUGAGAGCUAGACAUUAUUAUGAAAUGGAAAGAAAUGUUAAUAAUGAUAGUAAAAGGUGAAAACUAAAUUUAGUGGAAGCACAAGGAUUAUUUGCAUAAGCAUCUAAAAAUAGGAUGUGAACCAAAACCACUUUAUAACAUCGAAUCACAUUUUUUCAAGUAUAAAGAUUAUGUCAGCAAAAGUUUAAACUGUUAUCUUAAAAAUAAUUCUAUAUUAAUUCACUAAUACCCCUUUUUAAGUGACAAUUGGUGUUAAAAAUUGGGGAGAAGUGAGAACUACUCUGCUUGUGUAGCCCGUGACCACUAAAAAAAGAAACUGCGACUCAGUUAUAUUCGAACUAAUUAAGCCAUGAAAUUUAAAAUUCUCAAUAAUACCUUCAAGGAUCUUUAAAUAGUUGAGUAGGCUGCCUCUUUGAUUCCUCUCCGAGCUGCUCCCCAGAUCUCCUGAGUUCCUCCCCUGACCGCUCUCAAGAUCUCCCACCGUAUUCCUUGUCUGGCACCAACUUUCUACCUUUGAUUUUACCUCGCAGGGACUUGGAACAGGAAGGCCUACAACAUAAUUUAGAGUUGAAAUUAUUACAUAUAAGUGUGUGUGUGUCCAUGGUAUACAAACAAGAAAUAUGUAGGCAAUAUUGUAAGGUCUAAUAAUGUGGUUGGAGUAGGCAUACAGUAGUAGAUGAGUCUUUCACAGAUGCCCAUGGGAAAUCCACUCUCAAAAGCAGUUGGCAUUUCCGCUAGAAGUUGAAGAGUAGAAAUUUGAUUUCUGUCCUUCAAGCUGGCGAGCGAUUUAUCCAGUUCUAGCAACAGUAAAGCUGUUUCUGCAUUUAUGAAAUUAGGAAGACAAAAAUUAUACAAUAUCUUAUAUAUGUAUACGUUUUAAAUUUGAGAACUCAAUAAAGAGAGAAAUUGUUACCAAAUUUUCGCCCUAUGAUAGCAGCGCUAAGGAUGGACAGGUCAUCUUCCGAUCGUUUGAUGUGAAUUGAUAAUAGGCGGCCAUUAUCAUCCACGCAUUGUUCUGGUUUGGAACGGAUUAUAAACUCCACUAUACCUGUCUCAGCAAAUCCAGCAGCUGUAAACAAUGGGGUUUCACCGUAUAUAUUCUUUUCCUUAAGGAGGUCUGCACAACGUUCUACCAAGAGCAUUACAGCCUCAUAAUUGCCAUAGAUGGUUGCCUCGUGAAGAGCCGUAUUUCCAAAUUUGUUUUUUCUCUUGAGAAAUGCCUCAGGUAAAGAUCUUCCCUUCAUGAUUUCAAGUAAAACUUUAAGUGGUUGCUCUGUUUUACUUAUGACAGCUAGAUGAAGUACAGUAUCAUUAGAGGGCGUAACUGGACAGCGGAUUUUUUCGAAAUGUUCCUGACAGUAGUCAAUCAUGCGUUUCCAGUCUCCUUUCAUGGCUGCUCCAUAAGGUGCUUCCAGUUCUAUCUCAGAUGCUAUCUACAUAAAAUCAUGUAAGUAACUAUUGUUAAUGAACAAUCUCAACUCAAAGCUAAAUAUACUGUUAAGUGAAAUCCUUAGCAAGUUCAUAUUAACUGAUCACAAUACCGAUCAUUAAUAUAAUGGAAAACAAAUUUAUCACUCAAAGAGAACUGCAAGUAUAUCAUGCACGUACAUACCUUUUAGUAAUGGAAAUGUGUUAGAGGAUGAUGGUAGUUUAGAGGUUUUAGUGAUUAGGAAUUAAAAUGAAAGUAGUUUGAUAGUUAAGGUUUUUAGUUGUAGUAGUUUAGUAAAAGAAGGUUUUAAGCUUACCAUAGUUUUUGGCUUACCUUACAAUUGUAAUGGUUACAUGUGAAAGCUAGCAAGAAUUGUUACAUAGAUGAACAAGAAGCAAAAUAGAAGUAGGGAAAGAUGCUGCUGUAAUGCAGAGGAAGAAGAAAAUGUUUAUAUGUUUUAUUCACUUGAUACGUUCCCAGCACUGUUACAUUCAUUUUAUAUCAACAGAAGAUGAUAAGCUUGGUUACAUUUUCUACUCAACUGUAACAGAAUUCAUUAACUGCCUAACCAUAUUAACAAACUUGCUAACCAUUAUAUUCUCUAUUCUCUUUGACAGGUGGCUGAAGCAGAGGUGGCUGAAGCAGAGCAUUUGAUAUCUUGACAUUCCCCCGCAAUCAUAUGCUUGGAGGAACCAAGCAUAAGAUUGAAACAAUGAUGCCGAAAUAAAGGAGUGGAAAGGCCUUUAGUGAGAAUAUCGGCAAAUUGAUCAGUAGAAGGGACAUGUUGAACCAACAAAUCACCUUUGAUAACACGUUCGCGAACAAAAUGAUAAUCAAUUUGGAGAUGCUUCAUUCUGGAAUGGAAAACAGGAUUGGAAGCAAGGGAAAUAGCAGAGAUAUUAUCACAAUGAAUGAUCGGAGGGAUAUGUAAAGGAAUGUGAAUGUCACAGAGAAGCUGACGAAUCCAGGCAAGUUCAGCAGCAGCAAUAGCGAGAGCACGAUACUCAGCCUCAGUGGAGGAUCGAGAAACAGUAUGUUGUUUCUUAGAAGCCCAAGAAAUAGGACUGGAGCCAAGGAAGACAAUAGAGCCAGAGACAGAACGUCGGUCAUUGGGAUCACCGGCCCAGUCAGCAUCACUAUAAGCUUGGAGAUUAAGAGGACCAGCCUGAAAAUGAAGACCAACAUCAAGGGUACCUUUAAGAUACCGCAAGAUCCGUUUGACAGCAACAACAUGAGAAUGCAUGGGAUUAUGCAUAAAUUGGCAAGCUUGGUUCACAGAGAAGGCAAUAUCAGGCCUUGUGAACGUGAGAUACUGCAAGGCGCCAACGAUGCUGCGAUACUGUUGAGGAUGAGAGUAGGGCUGUCCAUCAUCUUUAAGCAAAUGAUGAUGAGGAAGACAAGGAGUAUCACAAGAUUUGGAAUGCUGUAAAUCAACUCUACCAAGUAAGUCAGUGAUGUAACCUGUCUGGGACACAAACAAACCGGAAGGGAGAUAAGAGAUCUGCAGUCCCAAAAAAUAAUGCAACCUGCCGAGAUCCUUCAUAUCAAAUUCCUGAGUCAAGGCAGCAAUGACUGAAGAAAGAAGAGAAGCAUGACUACUAGUAAGUAUGAUAUCAUCAACAUAGAGUAGCAAAAUCACAACACCAAGAGAAGAAUGCUGAACAAACAAAGAGGGAUCGACAGGAGAUGCUUGAAACCCCAAACUUGGUAAAAAACUGGUAAAGAGUUCAUUCCAGGCACGGGGAGCCUGUUUAAGGCCAUAUAACGACUUCUUGAGUCUGCAAACAAAGUCAGAAGGAUGAAGCUUACUCACAAAACCUUGGGGCUGAGUCAUAUAAACCUCCUCAUGCAGAAGACCAUGCAAAAAGGCAUUGGUAACGUCAAGCUGCCGUAAAGACCAGUUAAACUGAGCUGCAAGAGCAAGGACCAAACGAACCGUAGUAGGUUUCACGACAGGACUAAAGGUUUCAUUAUAGUCAAUACCUUCCUCUUGACUGAAACCCUUGGCCACCAACCGAGCUUUAUGCCUAGCGAUAGAACCAUCCGCAUUCUUUUUGAUUCUGUAGACCCAUUUACAGCCAACAAGAUUCUUGGCAGGUGGGAGAGGCACCAAGUCCCAAGUACCUUGGGCAUGAAGAGUGUCAUAACUCAAUUUUUGAAUAAAUAAUACAAUGGAUAAAAAUAUAUUUGAGAAUGGAGUUAAGACAACACAAAAUUUGAAGUUUGAGGAUGUAAUUAUUAAAUUUGAGAGUCAAUUGGUCAAUAAUAGAAGAAUUAAUAAGUUGGAGACUUUGAUUAAAAAUUUGAGUUAGUUUAAUUAAUAAAUCAGGUGCUUAAUUAAAGAAUUAAUGAGUUUGAGGACUUAAUUAAACUUUGAUUCAAUUAAUUAAAGGAAUCAGGGAUUUAAUUGAAGAAAUACCAAAGUUUGGAGCUGAUUCAAGGAAGAUUGCUAGAAAAUUAAAGUCCAAGGACCAAAUUGAAUAGUCCAGAAACCCAGGACUGUUAUGUAAAUGGCGCUAUAACUCAGGGAUUCAAAUUGAAUCUAAUCCAAGGGCACAAUUAGAAAUUAAUUAUGACUGAUUAAGAUCCCAAUUGUUGAGUUUAAAACGUUCAGGGGUCAAAAUGAAAAUGUCCAUUGCUGCCGAAACGUUGCCGUUGCUGGUGGAACAAUCGUGUUCAUCUUCUCCAUCCCGAUUCAACAGGCUGAAAAUCUGCAACGGAUUCGAUCCAAUCGUGGAUCACGUCUCUCGCCCACGAUCUCGUUCGUGGCAAAUAACAGUCCUGCAAAGGCAGGACUGGUUAAAGGAGGCAGCUUGGGAAUCUCUAUAAAAGGGAGAAGGAAACCUGGAAAAAGGGACCAAAAAAAGAGAAAACGAGAGCAAAAACAGAGAGCAGAAAUACAAAGCAAAAAAACCAAAACACAGAAAAGAGAAGGAAAAGUAAAGGAGCAGGACAGAUAGGAGUAUUGGCUUAGCCAUUGCUUUUGUCCCUGCAGGCAAAGGAAAGACCCGGAAUCAGUCAGAGAAAACCGGUAUACCCAUUACCUUCUUAGUUCGUUCAUCUCAAGAACUGAGCAAACACAGUGCGCCAUCGUUUUCAGCUACGCCUCGCCAGCAGGUACGCCUGUUUCUUCAUCCCCUUUUGCAUCUUCAUUUCAAAUUGAAUUGUUACAAGAACACUGUGCGAAGGUAAUUUAAUUACCUUCACACAGUGUUCAUGCACGCGUGAAUUCAUUUCACGCGUGCUUUUAGAUUUUUUUGCCCAGCCGGGUCACUGGCUUUAGGCCAGUGACCAGGCCGGGCUGGCUGAGUCCAGCCCACAUGGGCUGAGCUGGGCCCAGCCCAAAAAAAUAAAAAAAUAAAAAAAUAUGUAUGCAUGAAUAAAAAUAAUGUAAAUUUAUUGGUUUAUUCACUGACGCCAGAGUCAGGAAUAAAAAUACCGGUUUAAAUUUAUAUUAUUUUUAUUCGUUGUAUUUUAUUUAGCUAGAAAAAAUAUAAAAAAAAUAUGUGCAUGCGUAAAAAUAAAUUUAUUUUUAUUUAUUUAUUCACUGACGCCAGAGUCGGGAAUAAAAAAAAAUACUGAUUUAAAUUUAUUUUAUUUUUUGUGUGAUGCGUAAAAAAUAAAUUUAUUUGAUUUGUUUAUUCACUGACGCCAGAGUCAGGAAUAAAAAAAUAGUUGAUUUAAAUUUAUUUUGUUUUUAUAGCUACGUGAUAUUUACCAACGCCAGAGUUGGAAAUAUCUGUAGUUAAAUAUUCACUGACGUCAGAGUCAGGAAUAUUACACGCAAAACCACCGUAGCAUAAACCAACAAAACAUUAGCAAUUAAUUUAUGACAAAGUCAGCAAUGCAGCCUGCCUUAGGCAGGACGCUUAAGGGGUGAUAAUAUCUUCCCUUUUGCGUAACCAGUCUCGUACCAUAUAAUCUCUGUUGACCAGUUAGGGUUCCUAGUGACCAUAAUACUAGGUGGCGACUCCUUAAACAAAGAUCAUUCCCCAUUAAAGAAUAGGAUGCCAGAAAUUCGUUCUUUUCAAAGAGCAAAUAAUUUUUUAAGGCCGCCGCGAUGUCGGGUGCGACAAAGAGCAUCAAGCUCCUCCCGCAUAGCAGACUGCCAUUCAGGAAUGGUGGAAGCAGCCUUGAAGGAAUGGGGUUCAACCUGAGAAGAAGCAACAAACUGGACAGAGGCAGAGUAAGCCCUUCUUUUGGAGAUACCAUUCUUAGACCUGGUGGUCAUGGGAUGAAGAUUUAGUGGUGAAAGAGGUAAGACCACACAUAGAUUCUCAGGCUGGAAGUCAGGAUCAACAGGGAGAGGGGACUGUGUAGAUGACAGAAUGGGCAGAGGCGGAGACAGUGUAGGCUGUGAGGAGGAACUGUGAGAUAGUGCAGACGGAGAAGAGGAACUAGAAGACAGUAGAGGCUGAGAUGCAGCCGCUGGAGUAGGAGGAGAAAUAAGAGGGAACACAGUGGGAUGUAGACAAGGGGAUGAGGAAGUGGAGGGGGAUACAGGAAGCACAUGUGAGUAAGGAAACAUGGAUUCAUCAAAUAGAACAUGUCUAGUGACAAAGAAACGAUUUGUGCGAAUAGAAAAACAAAGAUACCCCUUAUACUGACCUGCAUACCCCAGAAAAAUACAAGUGGAAGUCUUGGGCUGAAGCUUGUUAGAAUUAUAAGGCUUGAGUAAAGGAAAACAAGCACAACCAAAAAUUCGCAAAUGAUGAACAACCGGUGGAGAACCAUAGAGCAGGAAAUAUGGUGAGUUGUGUUGAAGAAUUUGACAGGGCAUUCUAUUAAUCAAAUAAAUGGAAGUAGCACAAGCAUGAAACCAAAAUUUAGGAGGUAAAUGGGCAGUUUGUAAUAGAGUGAUGGCUGUUUCUAAAAUAUGCCGAUGUUUACGCUCAGCAAGGCCAUUUUGUUCCGGAGUGUAGGGACAAGACAUUUGAUGGAUAAUACCCUUGGUAAGGAGGUAAUGUUUGAAUUUAUUACUAAGAUACUCACCACCCCCAUCACUCUGAAAGACUCGAAGAGUAGCAGAGAAUUGAGUAACUAAGAAGGUAUGAAAGUAAACAAAAAUGGAAUAAACCUCUCCUUUAUUGAUCAUUGGAAAAAUCCAAGUAAAUCGAGUACAUUCAUCAAUGAAGCUAACAUAAUAUCUGAAACCUUCAACAGAUACAGUGGGAGAAGGCCCCCAAACAUCACUAUGAAUGACCUCUAAAGGUUUAACAGAUUUAACUGCCGGAUAAGGAAAAGGAAGUUUGGCAAGUUUACCUUCUAAACAAGUGGUACAAACAAGUUUGGAUGUGUCUGAGGUGAAAGAAAUCUGGGAUUAUUUUAACAUAGCAGAGGUGACUGUGUUAGAAGGAUGACCAAAACGCUUGUGCCAAAGACUUGUGUUGACCUGUUUACCAAGAUAACAAACCAGAUUAUUUGGAAAGAGAGACUGUGAAGGAAACGAAAGAGAGAAAGGAAUAGGAUAUAACCCAGCUCUACACAGUCCCUUGAGGAGAACAUUCCCCGUGAUUUUGUCCUGAAUCCAAAAACCAAAAGCAUCACAAAUAAAACGGCAGUUGUUAUCUUUGCACAGCUUAUGAACCGAUAACAAGUGUUGAGAGAGUUUUGGCACAUGCAAAACUUGCUUUAAUUGUAAGGAGCAAUGAGGAACAUCCAGAAUAGAGGAACCAAUAUUAGAAAUGGUCAAACCUGAACCUCCUGCAGUGGUAACAGUAUUAGCUCCUGAGAAAGGUGCAGCCAGAUUAAGUUGAGCCAAAUCAGAGGUCAUAUGUGUGGUGGCGCCAGUAUCAGCCACCCAAAAUUGUUCUGGAGGAGAAGGAGGUGGGAACGCAGCAUGCAUAGCACUAAGAUUACUGGAGGGAGGCCGGCCUUGAUAGCUGAAAUUACCUCGAUGAUAACACUGAACAGCAGUGUGCCCAAAUUUCCAACAAAUUUGACAUUGAAUGGAAGAGGCAGAAUUAGGAGGCAGAGUGUGACGCUGAUAGCAAUCAGCAGCUACAUGACCUUUCUUAGUGCAAAUUUGACAUGUAGGAAUGUCAAUGCCAGGACCAAGAAUACCAGGGUGAGACGUAGGUGGAACCUGAUAAGGACGUGGACUGAACUGAUACUGAUGACGUCCUCUGCCACGUCCCUUAAAGUGAGACCCCCGAUUGCCAAAGUAUCCACCAUUGGAACCAUGAAAUCCACUGUUAUGACCAUUAAAUCCUCCAUGGAAACCAGGAGGUGGAGCAGACUUGGAGCUUGAAGGAUGAGAAUAAGAGUUACCUUCAUCAAGAACAAGAGCUUUGCCAGGAGAUACUUGAUGUUGAGCCAUCAUUGCAGGAACAAACGAAGCAGCAGAAUAAGUUUGCUCAAGAGUAGCUUCUUCAGCUAGCAAUUGAGACCAAAAAUCUUUAAGAGAUAACACGUUGUCUCGGCCGCGAACCAUACACCGAAAGGUGUUAUAAUCAGAAGGAAGACCAUUGAGAGCUAAGAUGACAAUGUCAUCAUCUUCAAAAUAAACCCCUGCUGCAGAAAGAUGAUCCCGAGCAUCUUUGAUUUUCUGCAAAUAUUGAGUCAUAGUAUCGGAGCCUUUCUUGAUGGUUUGAAGCUCACUUUUCAUCUGAAAAAUUCGUGCCUUGGAAAUUGUGGAAAAUCUAUCCUUCAGUUGAAUCCACAUGUCAUGAGAGCUAACACAUCCAAUAACAUAAGAGAUUGCAGUUGAAGAGAGGGUAGCAAUAAUCAACUGCAUCAAUGCCCGAUCAUGCAUUUUCCAAAUUUUGUAAUCAUCAGUUUCAGCACCUUCAACAUCAGAGGCUGCAUCAAACCGAUGUGGACACUUUGUUGAUCCAUCAACAAAUCCUAAAAUACCAUGACUCUCUAGUAGAAUUUGAAUUUGAAAGUUCCAGAUGAGGUAAUUUGUGUCAUCCAAUUUAACGGUUACUGCUGUUGAAACUGUAGGAAGUAAAGAGGUAAUGGGAGAUUGGAUGAUCUGUAGUUGAGAAGUUGUUACCAUUUUUGAAGUUCAAGCAACAGAAGAGGAAGAGAAUCACAGGUUUGAGAAGAGUGUUUGAAGAGAAGUCUUUCAGUUUGACAAUAUAUCAAACAGAUGAUAGGCAGAUCAUUAUUAUGGAAUUUUUGGUUGAAUAUGGCGAUAAUAACGCCAGAAACAGAGAUUAGAAGCGGAGAAAUCACAAGCUCACAAGAUACUAACAAUUCUAAGCUCUGAUACCAUGAAAGCUAGCAAGAAUUGUUACAGAGAUGAACAAGAAGCAAAAUAGAAGUAGGGAAAGAUGCUGCUGUAAUGCAGAGGAAGAAGAAAAUGUCUAUAUGUUUUAUUCACUUGAUACGUUCCCAGCACUGUUACAUUCAUUUUAUAUCAACAGAAGAUGAGAAGCUUGGUUACGUUUUCUACUCAACUGUAACAGAAUUCAUUAACUGCCUAACCAUAUUAACAAACUUGCUAACCAUUAUAUUCUCUAUUCUCUUUGACAGGUGGCUGAAGCAGAGGUGGCUGAAGCAGAGCAUUUGAUAUCUUGACAACAUGUUCAUUUAUAGCCUUUUUAACCAACCUAAAUGGAACAAUCUUUUGAUUGUUCUAUAGUAGUAACUAUAGUCAUUUUCUUGUAAGACGGACUAGAAAAUUUUCAACAACAUUUGAUCAAUAACAUUUUCUCCUACAAAUCUCAUUUCAUUUACCACGAUUUUAUUUCUUCCAGUCUUAGAAUCUUUCAUUUUAAUAUUUUCCAACUCUCUUCGUAGUAAUUGGAGUCUAAUGGUGCGUACCUUAGAAUCGCCGAGAAACUCCUUCUGCAACAUAUCCCACGCUUGCUUUGCUGUUGAAGCUUCAAUAAUCCUAGGAAAAAUUGUAUUAGCUAGUGAUUGUUGAAUCAAAUACAGGGCUCUAGCAUCCUUCUGUUCUUUCACCUCCAACUCUUUUUGUUGUGCUUUUUUUAGAAUAGAGAUAUUUGGUGGCUUGUUAAAUUCCUUCUCAACAAUGUCCGUAAGAUUUUGAGACUUGAAGAGUGUCAUCAUUUUUAUUUUCCAUAAAUCAUAAUUGUUACCAUAAAAAAUGGGAAGUGGCAUAGAAAUAGAUUGUAAUGAAUUUGUGAUGGCCAUAUAGACUCUAAUGCCCACUUACUGCCCACUUACGAUCAAUUGGGCUUUGAUACCACUGUUAGAGGAUGAUGACAGUUUAGAAGGUUUUAGUGAUGAGGGGUUGAAAUGAAAGUAGUUUGAUAGUUAAGGUUUUUAAUUGUAUUAGUUUAUUAAAAUAAGGACUUAGUUUAUAGUUUAGAAAUGGUUGCAGAAUGUGGGAUAUAGAAAUUGUUGAUAGGAGAUAUAAUAGAAGGAGGAGAGUUUUAGGACAAAGGUUUUAAGCUUAGCAUAGUUUUUGGCUUACCUUACGAGUGAUGAUUGCAUGGUUAUUUAUAGCCUUCUUAACCAAUCUAAAUAGAACAAACUAAAUUUCUAGCCAUAGAACUUGCUGGAAUCUUAUAAUAUUCUAAAGUUUUUUUAAUUGUGGACAAGCAUUCUUCCUAUAAUAUUCCUAGUGUUUGUUUGAUUUCUCUAAAACUUUACUAACUUAACUUCACACUAACUUGUAGUUUGUAGUGUUUUCUUGAAUUGAUCUCUAAAAUCUUCUUUAGGGACAUUCAUAAGUUUCUCUAAAACUUUACCAGCUCAUUUCCUUAACAUCAUGCACAUUCGAGAAUAUAUCCAUGCUUGUAACGAUCCCUGACCAAGUCAAUUGCUUGUGGGAUUGACGAAAGGGGUAGGGAUGACUUAUAUUUCUUGGAGCAAGCUCUAAGCGAAUAUGAAGCACAUGGAUAGAAGACUUUGAAGGGAAUAUUUGAAUUAAAAAAAAAAAAAAACUUCUUUUGUGUUAACACAAAUUGAACGUCUUGGAGAAGGACAAGAAAGGAUCGAUAUAUGGAGUUGAUCCAUGAACUCUUAAUUACAUGUUUAAUCCACUACCAUGGAGUUUUCCAAUCAGAAAAGAUCCUGCUGUAUGAUCGUGUUAGCUGUACUGCGACUUCUCCAUUUUUGUUUUUGUUUUGUUAUUUUUGAUGAUAUUCUUAAGCCUUCGAUCGCAUGUAAGUUUCGAUCCAUUUAUUAUAGGUUUUGAGCAGCCUAUUCAUGCAUGGAAAAUUAAAACCCAAGCUUGAUUACGAGUUACAGGAUGAACCCAUAUCUCAAGGCUUGUGAAUUUUCUGGAGGCAACGUUCAAGAUCUUAAACUCAAUCAAAUAGAAUUGAAAGUAAACAAAGAAAAGAAAAGUCAAGCUCCUGGGAGCUCCAUUGAUGUUUUGACCGCCAUUUUCGGAUUGAGAAUCGGUGUUUGUACUCUUGGUAAAAUCAACGUCAACAUGAAAACUUGUUUCCAGAGAGAUGACUACAAAGAAACAAACUAGCUUACAGUUUUUCUUAAUUAAGCCGUUUGAGAACCCUAUAAAGAACUAUUCCUUGUUAAAAAUAAAAGUAAACUAGUAUCUGUGUUUUGCUUGUUUAGUUUAUAGAGUGAAACUAUUAUAAGAAUAUAUAUAUAAUAAAGGUGAAGUCUUAUUUAUUUCUUUUAUAAGAAUAAAAUAAAGAUGUGAUUAUUCUCCUAUAGACUAAAACGUCUGAUCAUGCUUUGUAAAAGAGACAUAUCGGAGAGGCUAACAACGGCAGGUCCAUUCAGCCCAGUACUUGACGGCUGCCUUUGUUAGUUUUCUCAUGUAUUAAGUUAUGUCCACAUUAAUUUACAUGAGCCCAAAUGUACGGUCACAAAAUAUAUUAAGAUAAACUCAUUGUAACAUUGUUUUUAUAUGUAUAUAUUAAGGGCAGUUGCCGCCAGCCAUCAUCUACUGUGUUGUGUAAAAAACUGUAAAAAUUCUAAAUACAAAAAAUAAUUUAAUUCAAUUUCAAGUAUUUCAAACAAUUUGUAAGUUUUAUAAUAUGUAAUGCAUUCAACAUCUUUUAUGUUAGUUUAUAUCUUUGUAUUUUUUUAAUAUGGAAUAAGUUCACUAACAUGUAAGAGGCUCUAAGAAUAAUAUGAUUUGAUAAGAUUCAGUUUUUGGUGAAUAUAUGCUAUAUCAAAUAACUAUUUUAAUUUGAAAACUUAAAUUAUUAGUUGGUGUUUCAAAAAAAAUAAAAUUUAAAUCAACUUUCUAACAGUCCAUACUAUCUUCACCCAUCUUAUAUUUUUGUUUAUUUUUAAAUAAUUAAAUAAUACUAGAUAUUGAUCAUUUAAAAUACACCGUUUCUUUUCAUUGAAUUCUUGCUGAAGAGCUCCUUCUUUGAUAUUUUCUUCAACAUUAAUAGUUGAAUUAACCCGAUUUCAGAAGUAUAUAUAUUAUUACUUAGUUUUUUUAUACAUUAAGAACUUGAUUAAUUGAUCAUUACAGAAAUAAAUAUAAUUAGAUUAGAUUUAUGUCAAUUUUUUUUUCUUAGUUCAGUAUAAAAAAUGUAUUCCAUUUGUUAAAACAUAACAUUGCAGCUUGAAAUCAAGAUUCACCUUCGUGCUUCUAACAUAAACAAAGCAAAAAAGAAGAAAGUAAAUUAUUCUUUGUUUUCCCUUUUCCUUUUGCAAUAAUCCUACUUCAAUUGUUCUCAUACAUAAGAACAAUUAUCACACUACAACUUUAAAGGGACAUCAUGACAAAUUUCCAGCCCCCUCCCUUUAAUUCCCCAUUUUUAUUUAAAGGGACAUCAUGACAACUUUAAAGGGACAUCAUAGAAUAUAAAAUUGUGGUUCACGUUCAUGACAAAUUGUCCUUUAAUUCUAUUUCUAACAAGCCAAAGGGACAUCAUUUCCUUCUGCCUAGACUAUAGAGUGCAAUAGAAAUGAUCACCAACCAGCUACGAGGCUAGCUAAAGGGUAACUACCCUGUCGUGAAACAUGAGAUCAAAAGCUAAUAUAUAUAUAUAUAUAUAUAUAUUCUUUGUUCUUUUAUGUUGAUAGAGGAGGUAAUAUAAUACUAUUUCUUGGAUCUCUUUAAGAGUUUAAAUUUUGGGGGUUAAAAUAAUUUUUUAACAUUAUAUCAGAAUUUUAAUGAGUAAGAGAUCAAGAUAAGGGUUAAAUUAAAUUAUAUGUACGUGUAAUAAAUAAAUGAUUUGUUAAAAUGAAAGUAACAUUGAUUCGCCUCCGAGAACCCUUGAAUAGUAAGAGCAUAGUGCGAGUCUUAAAGAGCAUCAGAGAAAGGGAAUGAAAUUAAACUCUGAUGAGGGAACCCACGAUCUGUCUAUAUCUAGUAGCAUCAGAGAAAAAAAGAUGACAGAGGAAGAACAAUGCAGCAGAGGAUGGUAGUGAAUUAAUUCUCUUCUUAUUGGUAUAAAGGAAUAAAACGUGAGCACAAUACAAUUAAUUUGUGCAGGAUGUAACUAUAUAUAAAAAAGGAGUAAUUAUUGACUUUUCAUAGUUUUAUUUGUUUCUAUAGUUACAGGAUUUCUUGAUUAUAGAGGCUGAUUUAUCCCUAAUUUGCAUUCAGCUAUAGUUUCCAUGUAUGAUGGGUUGCCAUUCUGGAGUAUAGUAGCCGUUAGAGUAUUUUUCCUACAAUCUUGGAUGUUGACCUGACAAGAGUUUAUCAAGAAUUGGUUAGGGGAUGUUGUGAUUCUGCUGCUGUUGCUACUCUUGUGAUGUUGCUGCGGCAGACCUAUGAUAUUGCUGCUGCCGCAAAAUAUUGAUUUAUAAAGCUGUACAGAGAUGAAGGAGAUGAGAUAAUGUUGCUUACUGCUACUAUUGUAUUGCUAAUAGCAUAGGCAGAUGAAAUAAAAAAUACAAAAACACGAAUAAAUACCGAAUGAAAAUGGAUUGUGAUGAAAUAAAUCUACUAGGAUAUAAAUUAAUGAAAAUCAAAAUAACUCAGGUAGAAAGGUGCUCUAACCUGUUCUUGGUUCUUGGUUGAGAAAGGAGAGAGAAAAGUCAUUGUAUUCUAGCAAUAGUGAGAGAAAAAUAUCAUUGACACAGAUUUAGACUACUAAAAUGAUCGAUGUUUGUGUCAAAUAGUUUCAUUUGAUGAGAGAAGUUUAUAUUAGGUUUUUUUACCCUUAAAGUUCAUGAGAAAAGAACAUCUAAAAUUGGUUUGAUUUUUGGUUUUGGGUUGAUUUUAGUUUUAGGGAUAAGUUUUUGGUUUUUUGAGGUCAUAAAUAAGUUUAUCACGAUUUCUAAGGUGUUUUGGGUCAAAAAUAUUUAAGCCUUGAUUCUUUGGCCACUAUAGUGUCUGGAAUCUAGGAAAAUUAGACGACGCGUUGUUUGAUUAUUUUUCAAAAAAAUUUGAUGUUGUCUGCCCGGUUGCGCGGGCCCUGACAAAAUGGGCCAGGCCCAACAAUGUCUAACCUUUGUAUUUUUUUUUCUAUUUUUUUUAAAUUAAUGCUUUUUUAUAUGUUUUUUUUCUCUAUUUUUUAUUUAUAUUUAGAUUAAUACCCAUUCUCUCAUUCAUUUUGUUUAAAGAGCCUCUUUUAAAUAAUGAUUAUUUUUUUGUUAUGCAUUUAAAUUUUGAAGAGUUUUUCUAAUUCAUAUAUAAUUUUUAAUCUAUUGUAUAGACAAAAUUUAUUUUUGAAGAUGAAAAAAUUUAUUUUGAGAUAAUAUUUAUAAUAUGUGCAACAUUGCACAGUGUGUUUUUUCUAUUUUAUUUUAUUCAAUCAAUUUAAUUUGUGUCUUUAUUUCUAUUAUCGUUUGCAUGAAUAAAAAAUUAUUUUAAUAAAUAAAUUUAGCAUACACAACUAGAAAAAUGUCUCGGCUUGCAAGAUUAAAUAUUUUGAUCCAUAUCUGUCUCUUAAUUUUUCUAUUUUUAUUUUUAGUUAUUGCUUUUUUUUCCAAUUAUUAACACACAUAGUUCUUGAUAUAUUUAAUUACAUGUAUGCAUAAACUUUUUGAUUUUCACUUAAUUGUUUAUAACUACAAAAAUAUGUUAAAAAAGGUUGUGUAUAAAUUUUUUUUAUUUGAAAAAUAAAUAUCUAAUCCAUGAAAAAGCAUGAGUCAAAUAUCUAGAAAUAUCUAGUUAUAUGUAAAAACUUAAAAAUAAGGAUUUUGAACUUGAUUUAAAAAAAAAAUCCAUACGUUAAAACCUAUUCAUCUAAAUUUGGUUAGUGGUGGGUGUUUAUCGGGUUCAAGUCAAGUCAUCAUCCUUGCUAGUAUAUAAUUUAAUUUAUUUAGGUGGAAUGAUGAAUUUUAGCUUUAGUUUUUUGAUGUUUAUUUUUCACAUAACAUAUCAAAAUAAUAAAAAAAUACUAAAAAAAUUUAAUUCAUAGCUAAAAUUUCAAAAUUAGAGGUUCAGUCUUACAAAGUAAGAGAAUAGUGGUAUGUUCAUAAAUUUAUUGUAAUGCUACAACCAACAGUACUAUCAAAAUCUCAGUCAGAAUAGUUAAAAAAUAAUUCAACAUUGGAGGUUGAAUUAUUCAGUGCUAGGUGGUUUUUUCAGAUCCCACUCACGGAGUUAAUGCUUGAACUAUCAUUUCUAUAUUUUUGAAUAGAACUUGUAAACAAACUAUUCACUUGGAAAUGACUCUUGAAGUUUCAAUGCACCAAUGUUUUAGAUGUUUAGGGUUCAGAAUUGCUAGCCAAGUUUAGAUAACUAGAUUCAUCAUUUUGCAUAUUGAACUGACCAAGUUUCAAGAAAAAUGUUCUGUCCCUCCUGAAUAAGAGAAGAGGGGACCAGUGUCAAGAACUCUGUGGUUAAAUUAACACCCAUUUUACAAGAAUUCCUGGCUUUCUUUGUUACUUAUUGCACAUAUCAGAACAUUGCAUUAUUUGGAAUUCUUACAAUGUACAAACCAAGAACUCAUCACAUCAUUCUUAUAGACAUCAUACUUAUAAUCAUCCAUGGUGGUAGUUGCUUACAGAUUGGACCAAAUGACCAAUACUUGUGCCAACCUUUACGUACACAGCCAGGCAUCAGAUUUCAGAAAAUGGAAAGGAUUUAGUGUAGGAUAAUUACGUGUCGGAUAUGUCAUGGAAAGUGGGUAUCAGUGGUUUCGACUCGACAGCAUUUGAAAGAGAUCCAAGGUAUAGCUGGAAUAUGUUUAAUGAAGGGAAUUUUCUGGAGCAAGUUGUAAGUCUUUGAUAGUGAUGGAUAAAGAGGGAAAUAAGAUAGUGCAAAGAUGCCAACUGGGAUAAAGGAGACUGCAUAUAGAGUAAUUUUUGUCCAGCUUUCCUUGCUGUAAAUCAUCAGAAUGAUUGUUGCUCCAAACGCUACCAUCUGUUAACAUGUAACUCCAGUAGUAUAUACAGAGAGGUUGAGUGAGAGACGAGAGAAAAAUGAAAACUUAUUAAUCUUCUUCUUUUCUGUUAUUCAAUUCACUGCAUUUCUAUAGUUAUAUAUAUAUAUAUAUAUAUAUAUAUAUAUAUGCAACUGUAACAACUUAACUGCAUGUAACUAACUUUUCUAACUAACUAACAGUUAUUUCACUAACAGAUUUAUUAAUCACAGUUAUCUCACUAACAGAUUUAUUAACCAACAUUACACUUAUCAUUCACUGUACUCUAACAUCCCCCCUCAAGAUCAGGCUCGUGAAGAACUAAGCCUGAGAUUGCAGCAAUGAGUGCGAAAUAGAGGGGCACUCAACCCCUUCGUGAGGAUAUCUGCGAACUGUUCUUGUGAGGAGACAAAUUGAACUGACAAUUGCUUCUGUGAAACACGUUCACGAACAAAAUGCACAUCGACCUCAAUGUGUUUGGUCCGUUGAUGCUGAACAAGAUUAAAUGAUAGAGCAAUGGCAGAGAGAUUAUCACAGAAAAGAACAGGAACAUGAGGAAAUGUAAUAUGCAGGAAGACUAAUAACUGCUUGAGCCAAUCCACCUUAGCUGUAGUAAAGGAUAACGCACGAUACUUAGCUUCUGUGGAUGAUCUGGACACAGCUUGUUGCUUCUUGGAGGACCAUGAUAUAGGAUUGUUUCCCAAAAAGAUCACCAAACCAGUCGUAGAGCGUCUGUCAUUAGGGUCCCCUGCCCAAUCAGCAUCACUGAAAGCCUUUAAUUGCAAAUCUCCCUUAGUAUAAGAAAUACCAACAUGCAGUGUGCCCUUAAGGUAAUGUAAAAUUCGUUUCACAGCAGUGAAAUGAGACACCAUUGGAUUCUGCAUAAAUUGGCAAACUUGAUGCACAAAAAACGCAAUGUCAGGUCGUGUAAAGGUUAAGUACUGCAGAGCCCCUACAAUGCUGCGAUAUACUGUAGGAUUAGGAUAUGGUUCCCCAUCCUCUUUGAGUAGGCGAUUAUAAGGGAGACAUGGAGUAUCACAUGGUUUAGCAUCAACCAUCUCAUAUUUAAGCAGCAAAUCCUCAACAUAUUUAGAUUGGGACAGAAACAGCCCAGUAGAUGUGUGAGUGAUCUGGAUGCCCAAGAAAUAAUGAAGGGAGCCUAAGUCUGUGAUACCAAACUCAGUAGUGAGAGCUUGGAUAACCUGUAAUAUUGCAGCAGAUGCACUUCCUGUGAUGAUAAUAUCGUCCACAUAGAGUAGCAGCACUACAAUAUUAGGACCAACAUGCUUGACAAAUAAGGAAGAAUCAGAAUAGGUUGUGGCAAAACCCAAGGAAGGCAGAAACUGAGUAAAUCGAUCAUUCCAGGCUCUAGGCGCCUUUUUUAAACCAUAGAGGAAUUUAUGCAGUUUGCACACAAGCUGAGGAUGCAAUACAUCUUCAAAGCUAGGGGGCUGAGACAUGUAAACUUCUUCUUGAAGGAUGCCAUGCAUGAAUGCAUUUUUGACAUCUAAUUGUCUGAGGGGCCAAUUGAAAUGAGCAGCAAGUGCAAGAACUAGGCGGACGGUGGCAGGUUUCACCACAGGACUAAAGGUGUCACCAUAAUCCAAGCCAGGUUCCUGACUAAACCCUUUUGCAACCAGCCGUGCUUUGUGUCUAGCAAUAGACCCAUUCGAAUGACGUUUAAUCUUGAAAAUCCACUUGCAUCCCACCAAGUUCCUUUUUGCUGGUAAGGGAACAAGAGUCCAGGUGCCUUGAGUAUGUAAGGCAUGAAUUUCAUCUUGCAUGGCCUGUAACCACACAGGAGCUUUGAUGGUAGAUUUGUAAGUAGUUGGUUCUAUCAAAGACAGAUCAACUGCACUAGAGUCCUGAAUACUGGCUAAGAAGGCCUUCCGUUUAUUAAUGCCACUUUUGCUUCUGGUUUGCAUGGGAUGCAAAUUUAGAGAAGGAAUCGACAAGACCACUUGUAAGUUGUCAGGAUUAAAUGCAGUAGAACUGAUACUGAUAUCAGGCGCCACAGGAGGAGGAGAAGAAGCUUGAGUGGAAGCAGUAAUGGAUCGAGGACUAGGAGAAACUGUAGAUAAAGCAGGUGUAUGGUAGGAAGGAGAACCAGGGAAGGAAGGAAUAACUGUGUUCUCUGUAUUAACAAGAAGCACAGGACAUGUGGAGGAGGAAUAGGAUGGUGAUGACUGAACUGUGGGUGAGGAAAUAUGUGAGAAUUCAGGAUAUGGAAAUUGAUUUUCAUCAAAUAUAACAUGUCUUGAAACAAACAAUCGCAGAGUAGACACAUGAUAGCACAAAUAACCCUUGUACUUGAUGCCAUAUCCAAGAAACACACACUUUGAUGUUUUUUGCUGCAAUUUGCUAUGAUUAUAAGGGCGAAGGAGAGGAAAACAGGCACAACCAAAGAUCCUAAGGUGAUUAAGAGCUGGAGAAGACCCAAAUAACAUCUCAAAAGGAGACUUGUGAAGAAGAACUGGAGUGGGCAUGUGGUUGAUGAGGUAUGUAGCUGUUAAACAUGCAUAAGACCAAAAUUGAGAUGGUAAUUUGGCUGUGUGCAAUAGAGUGAUUGUGGUCUCCAUAAUAUGUCUAUGUUUCCUCUCAGCUACCCCAUUCUGUUCAGGGGUGUGUGGACAUGAGAGGUGAUGUACAAUGCCUUUGUCAAUAAGAAAUUGUUUCAGACGAUUGCAGGUGUAUUCCCCCCCAUCAGUCUACAGAGUUUUAACAGUAGCAGAAUAUUGUGUAACAAGAAAGGAAUAGAAGGCAACAAACGUAGAGAACAGAUCAGACUUAUUGACUAAGGGAAACAACCAGCAAUAACGUGUACAUUCAUAAACAAAAAUAGUAUAAUAUCUAUAACCAUCCACUGAGAUACAUGGUGCAGGUCCCCAUAAAUCAGUAUGGAUAGUGGCAAAUGGAGAAGCGAAUGUAUGAUGAUGCUGAGGGAAAGGUAGUUUGCUAACUUUCCUUGCAAGACAGGGAUCACACAUCAUAGGGGAAGAAGUUUUAGGAACAUGAAUACGAGCUUUAUUCAGCAUGAGGGAGACAACAUAAUUUGUGGGAUGUCCUAACCUAUGGUGCCAUAGAUUGGACUGAACAAGUUGGCCAAGAAAUGCCUGAGCUGGUGAUGGCUGAGUAGAAGAUGAUGGUGAAAAACCAUGGAUAUGAUAGAGGCCAUUACUGCACAAGCCUCUGUAAAGAAUCCUCCUGGUGGCUUUGUCCUGAAUCCAAAAGCAAAAUGCAUAAAAAAUAAGCCAGCAAUUAUUAUCAAGACAGAGCCGAUAGAUUGAUAAUAGAUUCUGAGUUAAUUGAGGAACAAGUAGCACAUAAUCCAACUUGAGUGAAGACAUAGAAGAAUUAAUGAUAGACUGACCAACAUGAGAUACUGUCAAACCUUCACCAUUGGUAGUUUGAAUUGUGUCGGCUGUUGGAUAUGGUGAGGCCAAUGUCAGAAUAUCCAAAUCUGCUGUCAUGUGAUUGGUGGCACCAGAAUCAGUGAGCCAUACUUGAGAGGAUCCUAAAGCAUUGGAUGCUGGAGGUGCAGAGUUGACCAUGGUGUGCAUGGCUUACAUAGUAGGCUGUGAGUCUGGAAAAUGAGCAGAGGAGAAUGAGAGAUGUGGUGAAGGGGCUCGAUAUGAGGAAUGUUGCAUAGUUGGUGAUUGUGUGGGAUAGGACUGCUGAGAAGGAUAAGCAGCAGUAGGAUGCGUGCUAAUAUAGUUUCGUCCUUUGUCAUUAUAGAAGCAGAACCAGGUAAUGUGAUUAGGUCUGCCACAUAUAUGACAUUUGGGUUUCUUAUAAGAAGAAGCAUCACAAAACGGGGCAAUAUGUCCUUUAGAAUUGCAGAGUUGACAGAUUGGCAUCAUGGAUGCAGGGUGACUGUGAAAUUGCUGAUUAGGGGAAGGACCAAGGACGCCAGGAUUAGGGUGUGGAUGUUCAUUUGCCAUAGAAGAAAACACCGGUCUAGAGUGAAAGUGUCUAGCUCCUUGAGUAAAACGACCUCUACCAGUGUUUCUGUUUCCACUAUAAGGCUUAAAUCCUCUGUUAACAGCCUCAGAUGAACUAUGAUUCACAGGAAAACCCGUAGUUGCAGCCAUUGCUGUCAUUAGAGGAGCAAGAGCUGAUGCCUCUACAAUCACUUCCUCUGCAAGCAACUGUGAACGAAAAUCAUGCAAUGAGAUCACACUCUUACAUCCCCUUAUAACACAUCUGAAUGUGUUAUACUCUGUAGGCAAGCCAUUGAGAGCCAGAAUAACUAUAUCUUCAUCAGCAAAGUAUACACCAGCAACCGAAAGAUAGUCCCUAGCUUCUUUAAUACGAUGAAGAUAUUGUGAAAUCGAAUCUGCUCCUUUUUUGAUUGUUUGUAGAUUAGAUUUCAUCUGAAAAAUGCUGGUUCUAGACACUAUUGAAAACUGUUCCUUCAGUCGAUUCCACAGAUCCUUGGAGCUGGUGCUACCAAUUGCACAAGACAUAGCAAUAGGUGAUAAUGUAGCAGUGAUCAAUUGCAUGAUGGCUCGGUCAUGCAUUUUCCAGACUAUGAAUUCAUCAUUUUGAGAAGAAGCGAUUCCAAACUCGCAUGAAGCUGAGCUGAGUUGAGGUGGACAAUGAAUUGAUCCAUCAACAUAUCCCAUAAUGUCAUUGCUUUCAAGCAGAAGUUGCAUCUGAAAGUUCCAAUUGAGGUAGUUUGAAUCAUCCAGCUUGACAUUAACAGACGUAGGAAUAGAAGGGAUGAGAGCUGUGAUUGGAGAUUGCAGAAGUUGAAGUUGUGAAGCAGUCACCAUUGAAAUAUUAGCAGAUUAUGAACUAGAGAUCAGAAUGUGGAGAAGGAGCAGAUAGAAUGCGGAAGCAAUCAGAAAGGAUCUUCAAGCGUGAGCUAAGAGCUCUGAUACCAUGUUAACAUGUAACUCCAGUAGUAUAUACAGAGAGGUUGAGUGAGAGACGAGAGAAAAAUGAAAACUUAUUAAUCUUCUUCUUUUCUGUUAUUCAAUUCACUGCAUUUCUAUAGUUAUAUAUAUAUAUAUAUAUAUAUAUAUAUAUAUAUAUAUAUAUAUAUAAAACUUUUCUAACUAACUAACUAACUAACUAACAGUUAUCUCACUAACAGAUUUAAUUAACCAACAUUACACUUAUCAUUCACUGUACUCUAACACCAUCAUCAUUGCCACAGAGAGAAACAAAAAUGUGAAGUCUACCAUCAACUUAUUAGGAAGUGUAUGCUUGAAAUCUUUAAAUCGAAACGGGGAUGUUAGGAUAGAGAGGAAAGUAACAACUGAUGUCAAAGCGAACGUAAGGGAGAGUACAUCAGUCACAGUGAAAACCACAAAGAAUGGUUUGUUGACGAGGACAGGAACACCAGUGCUCUGAUUCGGACCUCCUGGAACUGUGUAGGCUGCAGCAAAGGCAACGGUGGCAAUGAGAACUGCUACCACAGAACAUCCUUCUGCUGUUGUCUUUAGCCAUUCUUUGGCUAAAUUGCGGAGUUCAGAAUUUGCAGUAAUGAAAUACCCUUCUGCAGUGAGCUUCAUAUUGUUCUGGUGAUUCAGGAAAUGAGAUGGAGUGACUUCUUUGACGCGCUGCGUUCUCACAUGGAUAACAAAGAGAACAUGUCUAUCAACUAUCAAGUUUUCUUAAAAGAAAUAUUUAUAGAAUUAGACCAUUAAUUUUAUUUAUUUAUUUCUUCUUAUAAAUCAUACAUAAAUUACUUUUUAAGAUGAAUUAUUAUGUAAACUCACCCUACCAUAUUGCUGUAAUACGUCUACUCCAACCGCUUCAGGAUUCAAGAUUAGUAUGACAAUAAAAAAAUAUUGUGCUUGCCUGUGAAUUGUGUAUGAUAGAUAUGCAUAGCAGGAAGGUAAAAGUCUAAAAAGUGCACCUCAAACCAGAGUAAUUCUUCCUGUAAGAGGAAUGCCGGGCCUUCCAUCUUCUCAUCAGAUACAAAGUCCUUUCUUUUCCUUCCGACUGUGUGUAGAAUGGAAUUCCCAUCACCAUCAAUCUUCCUUGUCAGCCUCUUCAUAGGCACGAUCCCCAAGCUCGAAAAUCUUCCUUUGGCGGUAUUUGAUUGCUACAUGCAAUACAUUGCGCCCUUCGUCAUCAAUGUGUUCGACUGCCUGGGGAUAUAGCUUGAGUAUUUCUUCAACAAUCUCCACACAGCCUGACUUUGUAGCCAAAAUCAAAGGAGUUUCUCCAAGACUCUCCUCUUUGUCUAGAAUUUUGUUAGACAAAUGUACUUCUUGCCGUUCUUGGCCUCCCUUUUCUCCGUACUUAUGGAUUUUAGGCUUGCUCUGGUCGAUGCUACAAUACGUAAGCUCCCAGGAGGUAUCUUUUCUGACUAAAAACUUGGCAAGCUCCACAGCUGACCUAUGCAGUUGUUUUUGCUUUUGAACCUUUUCUCUCCAUACUGAACUUCCAUAUGAUUGUGCUUCCAAAAAAAUAUGUUAGUCGCAAAUGGUUAGUUGCAUAUAAAUUCUGUGAUGUAAUGUAAGAAUGAGUUUAUUAUGCAGAAACAAGGCAAGUUACAUCAUGGUUGUUAAAAGGAAUGACAGAAAAGGAAGGGAAACUAUAAUAAAAAAAAUCUAAGAAUGUUACAUUUUUUUUUAUAUGAGAAGUGCCAUAAUCACAUUGGUUUCACUGAUUCAGUGAAAACUGGAAGGGUAAGGAUCAUACUUCCAUACCUAAAUUAAUGAAUCCUUCUUCUGUUCUUCAGGCUCUAGUUUAAAAGCUGAUGGGUUGCAUGACAAAAGCUGAAGACCAGUCAUACCAUCGGCAUCUUUUUGGCCAAUUAAAUGCGUGUAGUCCAACGCAAUUUGGUAUGCCAAAUCUGUAGUCCAACGUAAUUUGUAUGAAAGAAAACAUUUCAGCAUCAGAAUAUCAACUUCAUAUGUUGAAACAAAAUUGACUUGCAGAUGGGGGGAAGAAAUGAAUUUAUAAUUGACAAUGCUUACCAAAAUGCAGAGAAAGAAUGGCCAUGUGAAGGAUAGUGGUUUUAUCACUUCUCUGUACAUAGAAUUGCAAACCAGAUUCAUCAUAUCCAGACACUUUAGCAGCUAGAAAGUUGAACAUAUCAGUUUUUUCCAUACCGGGCCGCACGAAAGAGAGCCGUCUCCCCAUUGUGGUUGCGCAUGCCUAACAAUCCAGGGGCUCUCUUCAGAAGUUUAUCUGCAAUAGCAACAGUAUGGUUGCUUGUGGCAGUCUCAUGGAGGAUUGUGUUUCCUACACGAUUUUGGCGAGUCAACUUGUCGAGAUGAUGGCCAGGCAACUCAUCUAGUAAUUUUUCUACCAGGGAUGCUUCUUUGGCAUAUUUAUGUUAAUAUAUUCAAGCCAAAACUAGAGUACCAAGAGAGUUAAUCAAUUUAUUAACUUUGUAGAAUCUCCUCCUCUGCUGCACUCGGCAGAAAGAAGCCUCUUAUACAUUGCAGGUUAUUUUUCCAUACAAGUGUCUACAUAGAAGGUUAUUUUGCUAUACAAAGAGUCUAUGAUAAGAUAAUCUUUGAUAGUUAAUAUUAAGAAUCCUAAUUGUAUAUAUAUAUGGUAACAUCCCCCCUCAAAUUGAUGCUGGUAAGUCAACCAGCAACAAUUUGCCAACAAGAAAUUGAUGUCGCUGUCGAGUCAUAGCUUUAGUGAAGACAUCAGCUAUUUGGAGAUCGGAAGAUAUGUGAGGAAGAGAUAUCACCUGAUUUUCCAAGGUGUUACGAAUAGAAUGACAAUCAACCUUAAUAUGUUUGGUGUGUUUAUGGAAAACAGGAUUGGUGGCAAUCUGAAUAGCACUAGUAUUAUCAGCAUGAAGUGGGGUAGAGGUGACCUGAGGAAACCCAAGCUCUUCGAGAAGACCGCGCAGCCAUACAAUUUCAGAACAAGCAGUAGACAUGGCAUGAUACUCAGCCUCAGUGGAUGAUUUAGAAACACGAUCUUGUUUCUUACAUUUUCAAGAAAUUAAGGCAUUAUCUAAAAACAUACACCAACCUGUAGUAAAUCGACGUGUAUCCGGACACCCAGCCCAAUCAGCAUCACUAUAGGCAACAAGUUGAAGAGAGGAGCCGGUAGGGAAGAACAACUCAUGAUUAGGUGAGCCUCGAAGAUAGCGGAUGAUGCGUCGAACUGCAGCAAGAUGGAGAUGCCGAGGAGAAGACAUAAACUGACUGACCUGAUGGACAACAUAGGAUAUAUCAGGUCUAGUAGUGGUCAAGUAUAUAAGACUUCCCACCAGGCUCCUAUAGAGAGUAGGAUCAUCUAGCAAGUCCUCUUCAUCUUUUUUGUAUUUAACAUUUACUUCCAUAGGAGUAUCAACAGAAGAAGUGUCCUCCAAACCAGCCAAGGUGAUAAGAUCUUGAAUAUACUUAUGCUGAUUCACGAAAAUACCAUUGGGUCAGUGAUGAACUUCUAAUCCUAAAAAGUAUGUGAGCUGGCCAAGAUCUUUCAUAUGAAAAGUUGCAUGUAAUUGCUGCUGAAGCUUAGUAAUCAAACCACAAUCAGUGCCAGUAAUGAUAAUAUCAUCCACAUAAACCAAUAGAAGGACUAUACCUGACACAGAUGUAUGGAAGAAGAGAGAAGGAUCAUAUUGACUUUGUGUAAAACUGAAUGAAAGAAUUGUACUGCGAAACUUCUCAAACCAAGCCCGGGGAGCCUGUUUGAGCCCAUACAAAAAACGUCUUAGUUUACAGACAUUGUGAGGAGAAGAAGUAGUCAUACCAGAGGGGAGCUUCAUGUAAAUCUCUUCCUGGAGAUCACCAUGAAGAAAGGCAUUCUUCACAUCCAUUUGAUGCAGUUUCCAUGACUGUGAAGCGGCAAUAGCUAAGAUGGUUCGAACCGUGGUCAUUUUGGCAACAAGAGAAAAUAUCUCCUCGUAGUCAACCCCAUAUUCCUGCUUGUUACCCAGAGCUGCGAAGCGAGCUUUGUAACGUUCUAAAGACCCAUCAGAACGUAGUUUUAUAGAGAAGACCCAUUUACUCCCAAUAGGUUUGACUGUAGGAGGACAAGAAACAAUAUCCCAAGUAUGAUUCUUCUCAAGUGCUUGAAGUUCUGCUUGCAUUGCAUUUUGCCAACGCGUAUGUUCCAUGGCCUGUUUGUAACAAGAGGGAAUAUAAAUAGUGGAUAAAGUAGUGACAAGAGAGACAGGAGUGAAAAAUCCAUACCAGUCAGGGGGUCGAGAAAGACGAGUAGACCGACGAAGAGUGGUAGAAAUAGGAGCAGGAUCAGGCACCGAGUCAAGAUCGGAAGGGGGCAUAAGGGAAGUGGAAUCAGACUCAUGUUGACGACGUCUUUUAUAAACAAAACCAGGUCUGAACCUUUCCACCAUUGUUGUGGAAUCAGAAAAACUAGGCAAAAGAGGUAAAGAUGCAGAUGGCAAUUCAACAUGAGAUGGAAAGAAAUAUUGAUUUUCAAAGAAAAUCACAUUUCUAGAAACCCGUAUACGACAACCAUGAGGAUCAUAACAAACAUAACCCUUUUGAGGGAUAACAUAACCAAGAAAAACACACUUAACAGAUUGAGCAAUAAGUUUAUGUCGUUCAUGAGCAGGGAGAUGCACAAAACAAACACAACCAAAUGUACGAAGAUCAGAAUAUAAAGGAGAAUGACCAAAUAACUUAAAGAAAGGGGAAACAUUAUUUAAUGUAGGAGAAGGUAAACGAUUAAUCAAAUGAACUGAAGUAGAAAGAACUUCACACCAAAAACGAGGAGGAACAUAUGAUUCAAGUAAAAGAGUUCUUACUACAUCAAGAAGGUGACGAUUUUUUCUCUCAGCUACACCGUUUUGCUGUGGUGUCGAAGGACAAGAACGCUGAGAGAUGAUUCCUUUACUUUCAAGAAAGCCUUGAAACUCAUUAGACAUGUAUUCACCACCAGAAUCAGAGCGCAAGACUUUGAUGCUGGCAGAAAAUUGAGUUUCAAGAAGUGCAAGAAAUCGCUUAAAAACUGAAAAAACUUCAGCUUUAGCAUGAAGGAAGUAAACCCACGUAAAACGACUAAAGUCAUUAAUGAAAGUAACAAAGUAUUUGUAAUGAGCAUAAGAAACAACAAAUGCAAUCCCCCAAACAUCACUAUGAAUAAUAUCAAAACAUUUGGAGGCACGAGAUGCAUGAUGAGGAAAAGGUAAAACUUUACUUUUGCCAAGUUUGCAUGAUGUACAAUCAAAAGAAAGAUCAAGAGAAGAACAUGCUUUAUUUCCCAAUAAUCCAGAAUUAAUCAAAGUGCGAAGUACAUCAGAGUUUGGAUGGCCUAAACGUUUAUGCCAUCUCUUAUUUUCAGAACCAAUAAAAUUACAUGCAAAGGAAAAUAAAGGAAAACUAGAAAUACUGGUGGAAUGAGAAAUAUGAAGAGGAAAGAGUCGUCCCACUUUAGGCCCCUUCGCGAUCAUCUUCCCUGACGCUUGAUCCUGUACAACACAACCAGAAUGGGAAAAAUGAACAUCACAAUUAUUAUCAACCAAUUGACCAAUAUAAAUAAGAUUUGUGGAUAUGUCAGGAGACACAAAAACAUCAGUUAAGAAAGGAGAAAGAUCACCAACAGCACUGAUAGGCAGAGAACUGCCAUCAGCGGUACUAAUUUUCAGAUUUCCAUCAUAAUUUCUGACAUUAGAAAGAGGAACGGUAGUAUUGGUCAUGUGGUUAGAGGCACCGGAGUCCAAAUACCAUGGCUUAAAAAGAAGUUUAUGAUUACCUGAGAACCCAAGAGCAGAAAGAGCAGAAAUGAUCAUUUGUUGUACAUUUCAGGAGUGAGUGUAUUCGGGUUUGCUAAACCUGUAGGAGUAGGAAUAGGAACAAUAGGUGAGGCAAUAGGCAAUGCAGCAGAUCCAGAGGCACCAAUGGAGGCAUGAUAAGCAGUUCCUUGUUUCCUUUCAGGUCGAAUGGUACAAGUAGAGAUGAUAUGACCAUGUUUCUUACAGUAGUUGCAGAAUUUCUUAGGGCAAUCUCGAGCAAUAUGACCAAAACCUUUACAACUAAAGCAUUGGACAACAUGCAUAUUUCUACCUUUAUUUCUCCCUUAUGCUGCAUAAGCCACAGAAACUGGUGCACUAACAUUUGCCCCAUGUUCCAUAGCCGCCUUAGUUACGAUACGCUGCUCCUCAUGAAGAAGUUCACUCAAACAAGCAUCUAAAGAUGGUACAGGAUGAUGAUUCAUCAAAUUAGAGCGUGCAUUUUCAAAAUCAGAACGGAGCUUCAUCAAGAAUUGAUCUCUCUUGCUUGUGUCGUGCACUGCUUGAACAGCAGAGAGAGCUGCAGCAGGAACAUUAGCAUAAACAAUAUCUGAAUAAUUAGCCCAAAGAUUUUGAAAACCGGAAAAGUAUUCCUCAAUAGAGAGACUUUCUUGUGUGAAGUUAGCCAUCUCAUACUCUAAUUGAAAACGCCGAGUUGUGUUAUCCUGAUUAUAAACCUUAUUUAGAUAAUUCCACAUAGCAGCAGUAGUUUUAUAAGGCCUUAAAUUGAGAACAAGAUGAGGUUCUAUUGAGCUAAGGAUCCAGGUCAUAACCCGAGCAUCCAUGAUUUCCCAUCUAGACAAAGCAUCGGCAUCUGGAGGUGCAGGAUUACUCCUAUUAAUAUGCCCCCACAAUUCUUUUCCUUUGAUGAAUAAUUGAAAUUGAAACUCCCAAGCAGAAUAAUUUUUCCCAUUAAGACGGAUAUGGAACUAGUCUAGCUUAUCGGAAGACAUGAUAAAGCUGAAAAGAAAUAGAUUUUGAAACUGGAACUAACAGGGAAUUGGUGCAAUGAAAGAGUGAUACACACCAGAUUCUGAAGCCAAGAGUUGCCGAGAAUAGCAGCAAAAAGACUGAUCUGAAACUACUGAGAAUAACACCAGAGAAGCAGGACAGAUUUGCAGAUUUUGAAACCAAGAACUGUAAAAAAUAGCAGCAGAUAAAACAAGAAUAACACAAAGUUGGAAAUAAGGAUCCAACAGCCACUCCUCUCUCACCUGCACAAUUUCCACCGAGAGUAAUAUGAAAAAGAUGGGUCCAAGAUGAGUAAGGCAACAACAGCAGAAGCCAAAGGAAAAUUCAAGACAAACGCAAGCAAGGAUUUGGAAGAAGCUCUGAUACCAUGUUAAUAUAUUCAAGCCAAAACUAGAGUACCAAGAGAGUUAAUCAAUUUAUUAACUUUGUAGAAUCUCCUCCUCUGCUGCACUAGGCAGAAAGAAGCCUCUUAUACAUUGGAGGUUAUUUUGCUAUACAAGUAGUCUACAUAGAAGGUUAUUUUGCUAUACAAGAAGUCUAUGAUAAGAUAAUCUUCGAUAGUUAAUAUUAAGAAUCCUAAUUGUAUAAAUAUAUGGUAACAAUGUAGCCAUGUGAAGUACUGUAUCGUCGUUUACUGUUAUUACGUGCAAUGCAUGAUCCUGAAUUUUUUGGCAGAGUUCUGUAACUCUAUUCUUGUUUCCUUUCAUGAGAGCAUAGUACAAGUUUCCGUUUAUUUUCUGUUUAUGAUCGAUUUCAAUGGUACCAGGAGACAUCAAGGGUUCCAUGUAGAAGGUGUAAAGAUAUCAAAGGCUCUAGUCUUGCCACAUGUUAAAAGAUUAGAGAAUGAAAUGGUUAGAAUGCUGUUAGUAGUUGUUAGUCUUGUUUGUCAGUUAAGAGAAUUAGUUAGUAUUGUUUAGUGAAGAAUAAAUAAUUUGAAUAAGCUUCUUACUGUAGCAAUAUAUAAACUGAUGUCAAAUAAGGAAACAAUAUUCACUUAAUAAAACAGUGAAUCAAAAACAAAAUUUCUUCUUCCUCUCUGUUUAACAGAAUCCUUCUCUGCUUUUCUUCAUUUCUCUCUAUUUUUCUCUUUUCUGUGUAAAUCUUACUAUCCUAACAUGGUAUCAAAGCUUAGAGAUUCUUGAACUUGAGACCUUAGCUUCUGCACUCUAUGAUUUCUUACUCUUAUUUCUGAUUUUGGCUUCAUUCUCAUCUUAUCAAUGAAAUUCUUCUAUAUUCGUUGAUGUGUCUAUUAUUUGUUUGAUAUAUUGUCAAUCUGAAAAAUUCUUCUUCAAAUCUUCAACUUUCUGCAAGAUUCUUCCUUCUCAAUCUUUGAUUCUCUUCUUUUCUACUUCUUGCACUCUAAAAAAUAGUGAUUACUUCUCAACUUCAGAUUGUUCAAUCUCCUAUCAAUCUUUGAUUCUCUUCUUUUCUACUUCUUGCACUCUAAAAAAUGGUGACUACUUCUCAACUUCAGAUUGUUCAAUCUCCUAUUACCUGUUUGCUUCCUACGGUUUCUACUGUUGUGACAAUCAAGCUUGAUGAUACAGAUUAUCUCAUAUGGCACUUUCAGAUGCAAAUUCUUCUGGAGAGUCAUGGAAUUUUAGGAUUUGUUGAUGGCUCAAGAAAAUGUUCACGUCGAUUUAAUGCAAAUUCUGAUCUUGAAGGUGUUGGAACUGAUGAUCAUCUGCUUCGAAAAAUGCAGGAUCGAACUACAGACCUUCAGUUUACAAGACCUCCAGAUUGAUUAUCAUUUUGUAUCAAGGGACUACUGUUACAAUCUCAUGCUUGGCUCCUCCAAGCCUGCGAUUGAGGGGGAAUGUAAAGAUAUCAAAGGCUCUAGUCUUGCCACAUGUUAAAAGAUUAGAGAAUGAAAUGGUUAGAAUGCUGUUAGUAGUUGUUAGUCUUGUGUGUCAGUUAAGAGAAUUAGUUAGUAUUGUUUAGUGAAGAAUAAAUAAUUUGAAUAAGCUUCUUACUGUAGCAAUAUAUAAACUGAUGUCAAAUAAGGAAACAAUAUUCACUUAAUAAAACAGUGAAUCAAAAACAGAAUUUCUUCUUCCUCUCUGUUUAACAGAAUCCUUCUCUGCUUUUCUUCAUUUCUCUCUAUUUUUCUCUUUUCUGUGUAAAUCUUACUAUCCUAACAGAAGGGAGAGGGUAAUAUAUUCCUUGAGAAAAAAAAAAAAACAAAUCGCUAUGCCAAUCCUCAAUAAUAACCUUCUCCUUUAUAUCAGAAUUCUACUAUCAUGCAACAGGAUCCUGUUAAUCUUGACGAGUACACUUACAAAGUAUAAUAUUCUAGCUAUCUCUCCUAUUCUAAAGCUGUAUCCAGAGCUUUUGACUUCAUGACUGCAUUUGGAUUAUCAAUCAUCUUUACUUGUGGUGGAGUUAGAAUCUUGAACUUUUCCUUGAUUAUUAUUGCACAGUUAUGAUCACUAACUAGCUAUAUAGUUUUGCUUCAUGUGCUAAUUGGCACUUUAUUGAAAAUGAACCUUGCUUUAUAUAUGCCUUUAGCUGGUGCUUCUCCAUGUUUACUGGAAUGUGGAAUGUGGAAUAACCUUUGCGUUGAUUCAUGGAAUUAAAUUCCUACUUUGUCACUAAUUCAGUUUCAUUAGUGCAGUGUCAUAAACAUUCCCAUGUUAUGCACGCCAGGCUUACAACUCAUAGUUAAUUGGGAAUAAUCUUAGCUUUGCCUAUAGUAGUAUAUUAGCAUCUAAUCCGAGGGACGAAGUCGAACUUUCUUCCCUCAGUGAAAAACUAUCCCCAAGGCCCACAUCCUGACUGAAUUGAGUGUAGAUUUAAAGGAAACUUAUUGGAGAAUUCGUUUUCUUAUCGUUAGAUGAAUUACUUCAUUGUUACUUAUUACUGGAAUCAAAUAGAUAUAAAUAUAGUAUGAAUAUUUUUAUAAAUUUUGUCAAGUUAAUUUAGAAAAUUAAAAAAAAAAUAUAUUAUUUUUUAAAAUGAAACAUCCUUUUAAUAUAAGUUAUAUCCCUAUAUAUAUAUAUAUAUAUAUAUAUAAUGAUUAUUGUUUUUAGUAACUCCUCUAAAUAUUUAGAUUAGACCAUCUCUUAUGGGUGGACCAAAUUUAACCCAAUAAUCAACAUUAAGUAUAAUCUAAUUAAACACAUGUAGUCAUGACACAAAUUCAGUAGCAAGAGAGCCAAAUGGUGCAGCAGAUUGGCAACAGGUAUAGCUGACUAAACAUGAUGAUCAGGCAUAAGUUGCUCACUGGAAAUCAAAAUUUUAGGCACAAGUCAUCCUGUUUUAGUUUGCAAAUAUAGAAAGAAGAACCAGAUGCAGCACCAGGCCAGGAUCAAUUCCACUUAAAGGAGCGGCAUUGAUCAACAUUAUCACUCUCUGUUGGUUAUUUAAUUAUUGGUGUUGAAUUUUUUUUUAUAAUAAUCGAUUGAUUUAUUAAUGAAACAACCAUUCAGAUAAUAACAGAGAGAAACACAAUGAAUUUUAAGAAAACUAAAAAAAAAAAAAGAUUGGAAACAAAUCCAAUUACAAUAUAUUAGUAAUAAAUCUAAGCUUCAUUCUUUGCAAGCGUGUUGCUUCCAUCUACGUUUACCUGGAUCACCAACAAGGACAGUCUUCACUCAUCAUAAAUUGGUUUAAAUAUGAUUAUUGAAAUCCUUACAAUUAUCAACAACUCAAUAACGUAGAUGGAAGGUUUGGACUUGACAAUAUUAACAAUAAUACAUAUUAUCAUCCAUGUAUGGUAUUUCAUGGAAUGUGGGACUCUGAGGUUUGGACUUGACAACAUUUUAAACAUUUGGACAUCAUCGUACAAGGUUUGGAUAGAACAAGUUUAGUUAGAGGAAAGUUUUCGAGCAAAUAUUUGUAAGUUUUUGAUAGUGAGGAAUAGAGAGGAAAAUAAGAUAGCGCGAAGAUGCAAACUGGGAUAAAAGAGACUGUGUAUAGAGUAACUUUAGCCCAAUUUUCCUUAUUGUAUAUCGUCAGAAAGAUUGUUGAUCCAAAUGCUACCAUCAUCAUAGCCACGGAAAGGAACAGAAAUGUGAAGCCUGCCAUCAACUUAUUGGGAAGGGUAUGCUUGAAAUCUUUAAAUCGAAAUGGCGAUGAGAGGAUGGAGAGAAAUGUCACAACUGAUGUCAAAGCAAAGGUAAGAGAUAGUACGUCCGAGACAGUGAAAACCACAAAGAACGGUUUAUUAACGAGGACAGGAACACCGGUGCUCUGAUUUGGACCUCCUGGAACUGUGUAGGCUGCUGCAAAGGCGACUGUAGCAAUCAGAACAGCCACAACGGAAGAUCCUUCUGCAGUGCUCUUCAUCCAUUCUUUCGCUGAGCUGCGAAGUUCAGAGUUUGCAGUAAUAAACAAACCCUCUGCAGAGAGGUUCUGACUGUUAUGGUGGCUUAUGAAAUGAGGUGGAGUGACUUUUUCGACUCGCUGUAUUCUCGCACGCAAUAAAAAACAGACAUGUCAAUCACUGAAUUUUUCCAAAGAAAAUAAGCAUUAGACCAUUAAUAUUUUUAGUUCUUUCUUCUUUUCUACAGUAUGUGGAAAUGCAAUGCAAAUUCCUCAAGUUUGUUUCAAUUGCUUAAAGAUUCAAGAUUAGUGCAGCAUUCUAAAAAAUAUGCCUGUGUGUGAAUCAUACGUUGAUGUUAAAAGUCUAAAAAGCACCUCAAACCAUAGCAACUCCUCUUGUAAUAGGAAUGCAGGGCCUUCUAUCUUCUCAGAUACAAAAUCCUUUCUCUUUAUACCAACAGUGUGCAGAAUAGAAUUCCCCUCGUUAUCAAUCUUUCUUACCAGUCUCUUCAUGGGCACUUCCAUUUUCGUCACAAGCUCGAAAAUCUUUAACUCUCUGUAUUUGAUUGCCACAUGCAACACAUUGCGACCUUCGUCAUCAACAUGUUCAACUGCUUGAGGGUAAAGCCUGAGUAUUUCUUCCACUAUCUCCACAAUUCCUGACUUAGUAGCCAAAAUCAAAGGAGUUUCACCAACAUCAUCCAUUCUCUCAGGAAUUCUAGCAGCCAAAGACAUCCCUUCUUGCCCACCUAUCUCUCCAUAUCUGUGUAUUUUAGGCUUGCUCUGGUCAAUGCUAGAAUAAGUAACUUCCCAUGAGGUAUCAGUUCUAGAUAAAAGCUUGGCAAGCUCUACAGCUGAUUUAUAUUUAUACUUUUGAUUUUGAACCUUCUGCUGCCAAGCUGUGCAGCAACAGGAUUUAGCUAUCCAAGGAAUAAAGCAAGUCAGCAACAUACAUACCUAACUUUAGGCUCGUGAACACAACAUAAAUAAAAAUUAUCUAAAAGGAUGAAUUAUUUUGCAGAAAGAUGGAAAAUACAUGACUGUAAGAAGAUUAACCGAUGUACAAGAAUCUUAUUAUUUCAAGUACGAAAAAUUCAGAGAAAAAGAAGGAAAUUUGCAGCACAUUAUUUCUAUAUGAAGAUAAAGGAAGGAUUGUUCAAGUUGUCAUAAUCUUGACAAGAAAGAAGUGCACUAUAGUAUUAGCUGUUCUGAAUGUGAUUAGCAAAAUGGAAGUGAGCUUGUAUGCAUACCUAACUUAAUGAAUCCAUCUUCAGGCUCUUGUUUAAAAGCUGACUGGUUGCAUGAAAGAAGUUGAAGACUCGUCAUCCCAUCACCGUCUUUUUCGCUGAUUAAAUGUCUGUAGUCCAAUGCAAUUUGGUAUGCCAAAUCUGUUUUUUUCAUUAAAAUUGUACCAGAGAGAAAAGUUUUUGUUUUAGAGCAGCAAAAUAAAAACUUCAGCAUGCCUCAGAAUUGAGAUUUUAUUUAAUUCCACCAAACAUAACAUACAGAAGUGCCCAAGAAAUGAACUUGUGAUUUAUAAUGCUUACCGAAGUGCUCAGAAAGAAUUGCAAUGUGGAGGAUAGUGGUUUUAUCACUUCUCUGGACAUAAAAUUGCAGACCUGCUUCGUCAUAUCCAGAGACUUUAGCAGCUAGAAAGUUGAACAUAUCAGUUUUUCCGUACCGAGCUGCACGAAACAGAGCCGUCUCCCCAUUGUGGUUGCGCAUACCUAACAGUCCGGGGGCUCUCUUUAGCAGUUUAUCUGCAACAGCAAGCGCAUGUUUGCUAGUGGCAGUCUCAUGGAGAAUUGUGUUUCCCACUCGAUUUUGUCGGGUCAACUUGUCGACAUGAUGAUCAGGCAACUCAUCUAGUAAUCUUUCCGCCAAGGCUGCUUCUUUAGCAUACGUAGCCAUGUGGAGAACAGUAUCAUCAUUCACUGUUAUUACGUGCAAUGCAUGAUCUGAAAUUCUUUGGCACAGAUCUACAACAUCCUUCUUGUUACUUGUCACUAGAGCCUUAUACAUACGUCCAUUGAUUUUCUGUUUGGUAUCAAGAACAUCAGCAUUGCAGGAACCCAUCAGUGGCUGAAACAUCCUGAAUAGGGAGGUGGCUUCUCUCUUUUUUUGGCCUUAUCCUUUGCUUCUUUUGAUUUUGAAGACAAAGUAAUAUUGUUGUUCCUGUUAGAGUACAGUGAUGAUAAGUGUAAACAUGAUUACCAAGUUUGUUAGUUGGUUAGCCGUUAGUCAAUCAGUUAGUUAGUUAGCAAAGUUAGUUACAUGUAGUUAAGUUGUUACAGCUGCAUGUAUAUAUAUAACUAACUAACUAAAGCUGAGAUUAAGAUUUUGAAUAUAGAAAACAAAGAAUAUAACGAGAGUUAUCAUUUUCUCUUCUCUCUCAAUCAGUUUCUCUGCAUUUACAACAAUAUAUACACAUUAACAUGGUAUCAGAGCUCUUAGCUCACGCUUGAAGAUCCUCUCUGAUUGCUUCCGCAUGCUCUCUGCUUCUUCUUCUUCACAUUCUACCCUCUCUGGUUGAUAAUCUGAUAAUCUUUCAAUGGUGACUGCCUCACAACUUCAACUUCUGCAAUCUCCAAUCACAGCUCUCAUUUCUUCUAUUCCUACAUCGGUUAAUGUCAAGCUGGAUGAUUCAAAUUACCUCAAUUGGAAUUUUCAGAUGCAACUCUUGCUUGAAAGCAAUGGCAUUAUGGGGUAUGUUGAUGGAUCAACUCACUGUCCACCUGAACUUAGCUCAACUUCAUGCGAAUCUGGCAUCACUUCUUCUCAAAAUGAUGAAUUCAUAGUCUGGAAAAUGCAUGACCGAGCCAUCAUGCAAUUGAUCACUGCUACAUUAUCACCUAUUGCUAUGUCUUGUGCAAUUGGUAGCACUAGCUCCAAGGAUUUAUGGAAUCGACUGAAGGAGCAGUUUUCAACUGUAUCCAGAACCAGCAUUUUUCAAAUGAAAUCUAAUCUACAAACAAUCAAGAAAGGAGCAGAUUCGGUUUCACAGUAUCUUCAUCGCAUUAAGGAAGCUAGGGACUAUCUCUCUGCUGCUGGUGUUUACUUUGCUGAUGAAGAUAUAGUCAUUCUGGCUUUAAAUGGCUUGCCUACUGAGUAUAACACAUUCAGAUGUGUUAUAAGGGGACGUGAGAGUGUGAUUUCCCUACAUGAGUUUCGCUCACAGUUGCUUGCAGAGGAAGUGAUUGUAGAAGCAUCAGCUCAUUCUCCUUUGCUGACAGCAAUGGCUGCAACUACAGGUUUUCCUGUGAAUCAUAGCUCAUCUUCAACUAUUAAUAGAGGAUUUAAGCCUUAUAGUGGGAACAGAAACACUAGUAGAGGUCGGUUUAAUCAAGGAAACAGACACUUUCACUCUAGACCAGUGUUUUCUUCUAUGACACAUGAACGCCCACACUCUAAUACUGGAGUCCUUGGACCUUCCCCUAAUCAACAGUUUCACAGUCACUCUGCAUCUAUGAUGCACAUCUGCCAAUUAUGCAAUACUGAGGGUCAUACUACUCCGUUUUGUGAUGCUUCUUCUUAUCACAAACAAAAAUGUCAUAUCUGUGGCCGCCUUAAUCACACUACCUGGUUUUGCUUCUAUAAUGACAAAGGACCAAACUAUAUUGGCAUGCAUUCUACUGCUUAUUCCUCUCAGCAGCCUUAUCCUACACACUCACCAGCUAUGCAACAAUCCUCAUAUCGAGCUCCUUCACCUCAUCCCUCAUUCUCAUCUGCUCAGUUUCCAGACUCGCAGCCUACCAUGCAAGCCAUGCACACUAUGCUCCACCCUGCACCUUCAGCAUCCAAUUCUUCUGGAUCAUCUCAAGUAUGGCUUACUGAUUCUGGUGCAACAAAUCAUAUGACAGCUGAUUUGAAUAAUCUGACAUUGGCCUCACCAUAUCCAACAGCUGACACAAUUCAUACUGCCAAUGGUGAAGGUUUGACAGUGUCUCAUGUUGGUCAGUCUAUCAUCAAUUCUUCUAUGUCUUCAUUCAAGUUGGAUUCUGUGUUACUUGUUCCUCAAUUAACUCAGAAUCUAUUGUCAGUCCAUCGGCUCUGCCUUGAUAAUAAUUGCUGGCUUAUUUUUGAUGCAUAUUGCUUUUGGAUUCAGGACAAAGCCACAAGGAGGAUUCUUUACAGAGGCUUGUGCAGUAAUGGCCUGUAUCCUAUCCAUGCAUCUUCAUCCUCAUCUUUCACUCAGCCUUCUUCAGCUCAGGCAUUUCUUGGCCAGCUUGUUCAGUCCAAUCUAUGGCACCAUAGGUUAGGACAUCCCACAAAUUCUGUUGUCUCACUCAUGCUGAAUAAAGCUCACAUUCCUGUUCCAAAAACUUCUUCCCCGAUAAUGUGCCAUCCCUGUCUUGCAGGGAAAGUUAGGAAAUUGCCCUUUCCUCAGCAUCAUCACAAAUUCAAUUCUCCUUUUGCUACUAUCCAUACUAAUUUGUGGGGACCUGCACCAUGUCUCUCAGUAGAUGGUUAUAGAUAUUAUACCAUAUUUGUUGAUGAAUGUACACGUUUUUGCUGGUUGUUUCCCCUAGUCAAUAAGUCUGAUUUGUUCUCUACGUUUGCUGCCUUCUAUAACCUUCUUGUUACACAAUAUUCUGCUACUAUUAAAAUUCUGCAGUCUGAUGGGGGGGGAAUAUACAUGCAAUCGUUUACAACAAUUUCUUCUUGACAAAGGCAUUACUCAUCACCUCUCUUGUCCACACACCCCUGAACAAAAUGGGGUGGCUGAGAGGAAACAUAGACAUAUUAUGGAAACCACAAUCACUUUAUUGCACACAGCCAAACUCCCAUCUCAAUUUUGGUCUUAUGCAUGUUUAACAGCUGCAUAUCUCAUCAACCGUAUGCCAACUCCUGUCCUUCUUCACAAAUCUCCUUUUGAGUUGUUAUUUGGGUCUUCUCCAGAGCUUAAUCACCUUAGGAUAUUUGGGUGUGCAUGUUUUCCUCUUCUUCGUCCUUAUAAUCAUAACAAACUGCAACCCAAAACUUCCAAGUGUGUGUUUCUUGGUUACAGCAACAAAUACAAAGGUUAUUUGUGCUUUCAUGUGCCUACUAUGCGGUUGUAUGUUUCAAGACAUGUUAUAUUUGAUGAGACACAAUUUCCAUAUCCUGAAUCAUCCCCAUCCUUGCUCACAACUCAGUCCUCCCCAUCCUCUGCUUCCUCCACAUGUCCUGUGCUUCUUGUUAAUACCGAGAACACAGUUAUUACUUCCAGCCCUGUUUCCCCUUCCCACCACACACCUAGUGUAUCUACAGCCUCUCCUCGUUCUCAGUCCAUUACUGCUUCCAUUCAAGCUUCUUCUCCUCCUCCUGUGGCGCCUGAUAUCAGUAUCAGUUCUACUACUUUUAAUCCUGACAACUUGCAAGUGGUUCUGUCUAUUCCUUCUCUCAAUUUGCAUCCCAUGCAAACCAGAAGCAAAAGUGGCAUUACUAAACAGAAGGCUUUCUUAGCCAGCAUUCAGGACUCUAGCAUGGUUGAUAUGUCUCUAACAGAGCCAGCAACUUACAAAUCUGCCAUCAAAGCUCCUGUAUGGUUACAAGCCAUGCAAGAUGAAAUUACUGCAUUACAUACUCAAGGCACCUGGAGUCUUGUUUCAUUACCAGCAAAGAGGAACUUGGUGGGGUGCAAGUGGAUUUUCAAAAUCAAACGUCAUUCGGAUGGUUCAAUUGCUAGACACAAAGCACGGUUGGUGGCUCAAGGGUUCAGCCAGGAACCUGGCUUGGAUUAUGGGGACACAUUUAGUCCUGUGGUGAAACCUGCCACCAUUCGACUAGUUCUUGCACUGGCUGCUCAUUUCAAUUGGCCUCUCAGACAAUUAGAUGUCAAAAAUGCAUUCCUGCAUGACAUUCUUCAAGAAGAGGUUUACAUGUCCCAGCCUCCUGGCUUUGAAGAUUCAGUUCAUCCUCAUCAUGUGUGCAAACUACAUAAAUCCCUCUAUGGAUUAAAACAGGCACCUCGGGCCUGGAAUGCACGUUUUACUCAGUUUUUGCCUUCCUUGGGGUUUGCCACAACCUAUUCUGAUUCAUCAUUGUUUGUCAAGCAUGUGGGUUCUCAGAUUGUGGUCCUGCUCCUCUAUGUGGAUGAUAUUAUCCUUACAGGGAGUGCGUCGGCUGCCAUUCUGCAGGUUAUCCAAGCUCUCUCCACUGAAUUUGAUAUCACAGAUUUAGGCUCUCUUCAUUUUUUCCUGGGGAUACAGAUCACUCACACCUCUACUGGUUUGUUCCUUUCACAAUCCAAAUAUAUUGAGGACUUGCUGAUUAAAUCUGAGAUGGUUGAUGCUAAACCAUGUGAUACUCCAUGUCUUCCUUAUCAUCGCCUACUUAAAGAAGAUGGGGCACCAUAUCCUAAUCCUACAGUAUAUCGCAGCAUUGUAGGAGCUCUGCAAUACUUAACCUUCACACGACCUGACAUUGCAUUCUCUGUGCAUCAAGUCUGCCAAUUUAUGCAGAAUCCAAUGGUGUCUCAUUUCACUGCUGUAAAACGAAUUUUACGCUACCUUAAAGGCACACUGCAUGUUGGUAUUUCUUACACUAAAGGAGAUUUGCAACUCAAGGCAUUUAGUGAUGCUGACUGGGCAGGGGAUCCUAAUGACAGACGCUCCACUACUGGCUUGGUAAUCUUUUUGGGCGACAAUCCUAUAUCAUGGUCUUCCAAGAAGCAACAAACUGUGUCCAGAUCAUCAACAGAGGCUGAAUAUCGAGCCUUAUCUUUUACUACCGCUGAAGUGGAUUGGCUCAAGCAGUUAUUGGCUUUUCUGCAUGUUUCAUUACCUCACAUUCCUGUUCUUUUCUGUGAUAAUCUCUCUGCUAUUGCUCUAUCCUUUAAUCCUGUUCAGCAUCAACGAACCAAACACAUUGAGGUCGAUGUGCAUUUUGUUCGUGAACGGGUUUCCCAGAAGCAAUUGUCAGUUCAAUUUGUUUCCUCACAGGAACAGUUUGCUGAUAUUCUAACGAAGGGGUUAAGUGCUCCUCUCUUUCGCACUCAUUGCUGCAAUCUCAGACUUAGUUCUCCACCCGCCUGAUCUUGAGGGGGGAUGUUAGAGUACAGUGAUGAUAAGUGUAAACAUGAUUACCAAGUUUGUUAGUUGAUUAGCCGUUAGUCAAUCAGUUAGUUAGUUAGCAAAGUUAGUUACAUGUAGUUAAGUUGUUACAGCUGCAUGUAUAUAUAUAACUAACUAACUAAAGCUGAGAUUAAGAUUUUGAAUAUAGAAAACAAAGAAUAUAACGAGAGUUAUCAUUUUCUCUUCUCUCUCAAUCAGUUUCUCUGCAUUUACAACAAUAUAUACACAUUAACAGUUCCAGCCCUCAAUAAUGAAUAACUCUGCCCAUUUUAUGUCAAAAUCCUGCUUUUUCUACACAUAAUCUUGUCUAUAUCGGCCAAUACACAAAGUACCUAGCUUUUUAUCACAAUAAAUGUAAAUGCUGGGUCAUACUAGAUGCCUUUCCAAAGAGUAAUUGUCUUUGUUAAACAUCACUUUGAUGAUAGAAACCUGCUUUAUCCCUCAAUUGAAUACUUCUUUUUUUUAUUUUUUUUAUAUGGAAGUCUUCGAUGGAAUUUUAGUACUAUCUUUGUCCAUCCUUUUUUCAUUAGUACAAUAUUCCAUCCAAAAGCAGCACGUUUUGCACGUCAUGCUUUACAGCUAAUUAGGAAUAAUCUUUGCUUACAUAGUACAAAUAAGGAAUAAGGAGUGUCUACAACAUAUCUUCUCAAGAUAAAACUCAAAAACUAAAGCACUUACACAGCAUGGUAUUAAUGGAAAUCGAAACAUGUACCAGUCAAUAAUAACUUGCAAAAUAUUGCACUUUUUUUUUUUAUUAAUCAUAUAUAGUUGUAUAGUUGGCAAUCCAUAAUGAUUGGGCUAAUUAUCAUCUAUAGAGUCCACCAACAAAUCAUGUACAUGGUAAAAAAAAUAAUAGUAAAUUGCAAGGCAUCACAUUUGAAUGGGCGAAAAAUGGAAGCUUGUAAGGUAGCAUUACAUGUGGAUUAAUAUUCUUGGAAUGUUGGACUCGAUGGCUUAGACCUGGCAACAUUUGAAAAAGAUUUAGAGAUCUUCAAGGGUAUGGCUAGAAAACGUUUAGCGAGAGGAAUAUUCUCGAGCAAGCACUUGUAAUUUUCUGUCGUCAGUGAUGAAUAAAGAGUGAAAUAUUAAGAGAGUGCAAAGAUGCCCAACUUUCCUAGUUAUAUAUCAUUAUGAGUAUUGUUGCUCCAAAUGCUACUGAUGUAAUAAGAGAAUACAAAGCAAGAAAGAAAGAGAUUGGACAAAAACUCCAAGUCAUAGUUUUAUUUAUAAAAAUAAAGGCUAAUGAGUUAUGCCUUACAAGUCGUUAAAUAAACAUGAGACCGACCUUAGUAAGAAAAGAAAAUCAUAAUCCCCAAAUAAAAAGAAAAAAGCUAUCAAGAAAUUAAAAAAAACAUAAAAUCUAAAAAAAGCAUGGAAAAAUAAUAAAAUAGGCUCAACAACAUCUCCAGGGUCUAAUUUUAAAGUCUUUUAAAGUUCAUCUAGUUAUAGCAAGUUAGGUUUCUAUAGAAUCGACUCUCAUAAAUCUCUUGGAAAUAUUUUAAUAUGAUUCAAUAAUUAAAUAAAAAAUUAUAGCCUUUUAAUGCUAUUUUUUUGUUUGGUAUGACCAAACCUUCUCUUGAACCUAGCUUUAUCCUACUAGUCCACAUAUAUAUAUAUAUAUAUAUAUAUAUAUGCUAGGCUACUAUCUACUAGGGGUGUUCAAAAAAACCGAAUAACCGAAAAAACCGAGAAAACCGAUGAAAAAUUAACCGAGAAAACCGAACCGAGAUGAAAAACCGAUUAAACCGAUUACUAAAACCAAAAAUCUUUCCGGUUCGGUUCGGUUUCGGUUUCACCACCAAAACCGGUGAACCGAACCGGCUACCCAUAAAAAUAAAACCAGAAACGACCUAGUAUAAAUACUAAAUGCAAAUGGUACAGACUAUACAGACCUAAACCUAAAUUUCUUGCUUCAGCCGCCGCCCACACCAGACCCUUCUUCCUUUCCCCUUCAAUUUUCAUCUUCUCUGCCUCUUGCCCCCGCAUCUGUCUCUUCUCUAGCUGAUUAAUAAGCAAAUAACCCAGAUCUCCGCAUACAUCUAGUAUACUUGCAGUCGAAAAAAACCCGAACAAACCCCUUGGCGUCUCUCUUCACCUGCAACAGAAAGAGUCAAAGAGGUAAAGUUUACUGUUUAUCCAUGUGUUAAUUCCGGCCUUCGUGUGCUUGUAAGUUUUACUUGUAACAUUUGUUCCAUUAAAGAUCUCUGACCUCUGCUUCUUUUUCUGUCCUUUUGCAGCUAGGGUUUUUGCAUCUUUCUUCAGGUUCGCCCCCUUUCCCCAGCUCUAUCUCCUUUCUGUUGAUUUAUGUUGAUAUCGGGUUAUUGAUUGCUUUGUGUUGAUUUCUGUUGAUUUGUGUUGACUGUUGAUAUCGAGUUAUCUUUCAAAGUUUUUACUGUUUUUACAUCUUGUAACAUUUGUGUUGAUUUGUGUUGAUCUUUGAUCUCUGUUGAUUUGUGUUGAUAUCAAUCUAUUUUCUGUUGUAUUAAUUAUGGGCUGCUGACAGUAUGUUCAUGACUUCAUUCUGUUUUAUUGAAAUUAAGAAUUCUUUAAAUUUUAAUUAUAUUUUGGUGAUUCAAGGUGGUAGUCUUUGUUCUUGGCUGAUGUAUGUUUAGUAUUUUAGCAUCAAUGGUGUCUUCUUUCUUUUACAGUAAUAAUCCUUGCUCAUAACUGGGAUUUACCAGUUGUGUAAACAUUAUUAAGCAGUAAUUUUAGUGCAUUAAAGGCCCUAGAACUGCUCUGCUCCAAAUCUGGAGUUGUUAGAUUCCAGAAGAGAGCAAAAUGGGGUGGUUUGCUUGUGUUUUUUUUCCUUUUAAGAAAAGGAACGGAUGGGUCAGUGAUGUGGGCAUUUUUGGAUCUUUUUUAGUGUGAGUUGUUUGAUCUGAUGACUUUAUUUUCGAAGUAGCUGGUUUAUUUGACAUGCACAGUAAAUGUGUUGGAUCAGCAUGUGUAAAUGCCACGGACUUUCAGGGUUUUGCUUGCUCUUUCCUUCUCCAUUACAGACUUUCAGGUUCAUUGCAUGUGUAAUUUACAGUAUGCAUGUUUUUUAGAAUAAAGAGGUGAUAGAUGCCUUUUUGCAAUUAUAAUAUUGUUUAUUUACAUAUGUUUAAUCUAACAUUUUAAUUUAUGUUUUUGUAGAAUUUGGUGAAAGUUUAAAGAUCUCAACUGAUUGUUUGUAAGUAGUAUUGGUGGCUUGGUGCAAUCUUGGAAUAUAAUUGUUUUGGGUAAUUAAUUUAUUUUACCUUGUUAAUUUCCCUUAAAAUUUUGCAUACUUAAUUCUUUCAAUAGUUGAACUAUAAUAUGUUGCUAAUUUGUUAGUGUUUUUUUAUAGCAUUAUCCUGGAAUUUUUGGAUGCUGGUGUUGCUGGAAUUUUUGGAUGCUGGUGUUGUUGGGUUUUUUUCUUCAAAGUUCAAAUUAUGCCGGAUGUUUAUGAUAAUUUAUUGCUGGUUGUUAAUGUAUUCGCUUGUACUUUUCUAGUGCGAACAGACUUUUAAUUUGAGGUUUUAAAAUUUGAUCAUGCAUCUUGCAUAUUGCAUUGAUUUAGCACUUUAGGAAGUAUAUUAAAAGUCAGCUAAUUUGCAUCUCUGUGGGAUUUUAAUGACUGUUCUAAUUCAUGUCCAGAUUUUAAUUUAUAUUGAAAGUUAGUAAAUUCAUAUUAAAAGUUAGCCAUGUGAAUUAGCUUAACAUUAUAAAUGUUUAAAAGCUGAACUUGCUUUAAAUUUUAAAGCUUAAUUUAACUGAAACCGUAAGCCAAUUUUAAAGUUUAGCCAUGCUAAAUCUUCCCAAACCGUAAGCCAAUUUAAAAAAAAAACCAAAAAACCCCAUGGGAUUAGGUUUCCCGGUUUUUUCCUUAAAAAACCGGAUUUAACCGAACCGGACCGGCUCGGUUUGAACCGGUUUCCGGUCCGGUUCGGUUAAUUUUUUACAACAAUACUGUAAUUCGGUUCGGUUGGUUUUUUUAGUCUAAACCGAACCGAACCGAACCGUGAACACCCCUACUAUCUACAUAAUAUGUUAGUCGUAGAUCCCCAUAUAAUUAUGGCAGAUCUUCAUUUGACUAUUCAAAACCUUCACUUUUUUUAGUCCAUGUUGAGGGAUUUUAGAUAAAUGUUGAGAUCUCUUUAACAAUAUAAACCUCAUAUAUCAAAGAUCCAACAUUCACCAUGUUUUUUUUUUUUUUUAAGGUUGAACAAGUAUUUGCAUGGAAUUAAAUAGAGAUUGAGUAAAUGAAUAUUUUAAAUUAAAAAAAAUAAAAGACAACAAAAAUUUAUAUAGGAUGCAUAUGUGAUUCCUAACCUUUUUAAUGGAUACAUUCGUCUAUAAUGGGCAUGACCUCUAACAUUUGCCUCAAACGAUAAUUGUAUGGGUAGAUGCUCCAUUGAGUCACAAAAGAAUGGAGGGAAUAUCAUCUCAAAUUUAUAGAUUUUCUAGAUGAUAUUUGUUUCAAGCUUCUCUAUGUGUUGGUAUGCAACUUGCUAGCGCACAUAUCUCUAAAAAAGUGACUGACUUCCAUAAGUGCAUCCCAUAUUUUUUUUUUGUAAUAAAUCCUUGAAAGCAAGUGGAAUGAUUUUUUUGCAUAAACACAUGACAAUCAUGACUCUUCAUUCCAUAAAAUUUGCAAUCCUCCAAAUUCACCAAUCUAGAUUUGUUCGAAGCAUAUCCAUGAGAAAAACACACUCUUUAGUUAUUGCUAGAAAAGUAAUGGUGUAUUAUUGUUUAAGGCAAAGCUAGCUUUGGGUUUUGUAACCCGUGACUCAUCAUAAACCAACUCCAUAUUCUUACGGUGACGAAAUAAAGGUAUAUCCAUUCUAGCCUUCAUGUUGUCCUUUGUCUUUCCUUUCACGUCCAUCUUCGUGUUAAAAAGAUUUUCUUUUCGAUAUGAAUGACAUCCAGAUUAUAUUAAAGGAGAUUAGUUUUCCAAUAAGGAAGCUACUCAAAAAUACUUUGCUUUAUCCAAUUAUAGGUCGAACCAAAACUAAGAAACUUCUAUUUAUCGGAUUGAAAACCAAACACAAUACCCUCAUACUACGAGACCACAUCAUACAUUUCUUUACCUAAUGGUAUCGGCGGUGUAUCAUCCCUUUUAAAUCUACCUACAAAGAUGUCCUUUUUAUACUUAUGAUAGGUUGGUAAGAACCUCCAUUGGCAAUAAAAAAAGAUGUUUUACCACUAUUUGUUAAGGUGAAGGUCUUUUUAUUUUUUAUAUAGUAUGGACAUGCUAAUUUUUUAUUUGUGCUCCAAUCAGAAAUCAUCUCAUACACAAGAAAGUCAUGAUAGUCAAUAUCAAAGUUGCAUUCUUUUGAAAAUUUUGCUUCCUUGAGACAUCAUACGUCAAAGUAUUGAAUAACCACAAUUGACUCAACUUAUCAAUCAACGAUCGAAGAUAAAUAUCUAUAUUCCUACCUAAACUAUAUAUUAGGAUCGAAUAUAACCCAAAUAAGUACAUGAACUCUAGCCUUAUACACAUCUCCCUUGGCAAGUUGUAAAUUGUGAGUAUCACUACUCAACAAGAAUAAGGUGCAACAAAUGAUCCAAUGAAUUGAAUCAAUCUGUACAUAACCCAAGACGUAAUUGUUUCCUAGCUUCACCAUUGGAAGGGUGCGCCAUGACUCCAUAUCCACCAUAUCAUGUGCUUAAAAGUCUUUGAAGACAUGAAUAAGCUUUGCAGCGUUGGAGUGAUUGGAAAGUAUCUUAGUUUUUUUAUGUGCGAUAAGAGUCAUUCCCCUACUAGUUUUGGGUUUAUACUGAGAAUGCUCACAAGUUUUGUACUUGGUAAAAUCUGCAUUUUCAGAGUAGUAUAACAUGUAAAAGUUUGGACAUAUGUCAAGUUUUUGGUAUCCUAGACCAAGAGGUUUUAUCAUGGAUUUAACAGCAUAUAAGUUCUCUUUGGUGGUUAUAUCCAGCUAACACUACAAAAACAGCAUAAAGAAUCUUCGAAAAAAGUUUAAGACAUAUUAAAUAAUUAAAUUAAAAGUUAUAGAUAUUUUCCUCAGAUAAGUUGUUUGGCCAAUUUAUCUCCUUUUAGGUUUGAACUUGUCUAUAUAUAUUAUGCUACCCAUAUAAUCUAAAUACAAUAAAUCUAUUUCGGAUUGAUCAAAAUCUCUUGUAUCAAGAUCCUUGCAAUACCUCGUAGUGCCGUGGAAUACAAUAAAUAGUCCCCCUCAAGCUGAUUGAGAAAACGAACUUGUAGGUGAUUGAGAAAAUCGAAGAGAGAUAUCCAUUAAUAAUAAUAACCAUAAACUUACACCCAAUUUUACUACAAGUAACGGAUUGAAGCAACAUUUUAGUCCUAACUUCAUACCAGAACCUAUUACACACUAUAUAUAACACAUACUGACUUCUAAGGCCAUCAUUGAAGAUAGCGCAACCUCAUAAAUAUCACGAAAUUGAACAAUCAAACAUUCUGUAACACUCAAUAUAUAGUGAUCUAUAGUAGAGGUGCAAACCAACAAUAAAAAGGAAAAACCUCUGUGCCACUUUAGUCUCCAAUAUUAAUCAAUUCGAGCUUUUUUCCUUCUUCUUGGGACCGAGCUUUUCCCUCCAUUGUAGGCAAGGGCCAAGAAACGAUAGAUGAGCUAUCCAGUUUUUCUUGAGAAUGUUGAAUGUAGAGCCCAUAAAGGAGACGUACAGACGGAAUUGCAAUAUUCCAAAUAUUAAGACAGGAAGGAAUGAAGCAAUGGAAAGGAGUAAUGUUGUCAACCUCCUCUCUGUCUGAAUGAGUAUCAAAAUUGUUGCGCCAAAGGAUAGCAUGGUCGUUAACACAGAAAAGAAGAGGAAGGAGAAGCCAACAAUAAGUUUUCGAGGAAGAGAGAUGUGGAAUUCUUGUAGCUCAAAUGGAGAGGUCAACAAAGAGAGAAACACCACAAGCGAAGUCAACGAGCUUGCUAAGGAGACAACAUCAGAGACAGUGAAAAUCAGAAAAUAGGGAGAGUUGAUGAAGAUGGGCUUGCCUUUUUCAUCAGAACCUCCGGGCACAGUAUAGGCAGCAGCAAAGACAACAGUUGCAACAAGGGCAGCUACUGUGGAACAAGACUGAGAUGUUUCCUUGAUCCAUUUUUGUGCCUUUUUCAGUUGCUUCUCGUGCGCUAUUUCGAAGGACUCUCUUGCAGUCAUUCCAUCUUUGUUCAGAAGCGGGACAUAAUAAGAAGGAAUUACGUCUUGCACUCGCUGCAAUAAUUGGGAGAUAAAUAUGAUUGUUAUUGCUAAAUAAAACUACGAAUUACAGAAAUGUUAUUACUAGAGCGCAGAUAGUUUUUAUUUGUGAAUAAUAUUGAAGUUUUUCCCUAAGUAGUUGGUUAGGAGAACUAGUUCAGACUGAUGUCUUGAUUAAGUUCGAGUUUUAUUAAUUACUCGCGUCUUGGAGAGGAAUCUUUUUACCGUUUAACGGUUUCUGUAAAACUUGUAUCAAGUAAAGACAAAGGGAUGAAAAGGGCUCACCUCAAACCAUUUCAACUCCUCCUGAAGUUGGAGUGCAGGCCCAGGCUUGGUUACUCCACUGUUUUUCUUCAUAUCUGCAACAUGGUGCAACAAUGUGUUGCCGCUAAUAUCAACAACUCGACGCAUUCUAUCCAAUGGUAUUUUCUUUUCCUUCACAAUAUCGAAGAUUUUUUCUUGGCGAUACAUGACGGCCACAUCCAAAAUGCUCCGAUUCAUUUCAUCGCGCUGGUCAAUAGCAUGAGGAUGUAGCCUUAUUAUCAGCUCCGCAAUCUUUUCUAUUCCCCUUCUAGUUGCAGUAAACAAUGGGAUCUGCUUUUUAGUUGUUAAUGAUGACAAUAUCGAUACAGAAUUUUUUGCUUUCCUAGUGUUUUGAGAAGCUUGCGCACACAUUUCUUGCUCUACUUUUUUAUUUUGGUCUUCCUCUGUUAUGGUGACUCCUUUAAAAGAAUUAUCUUCCUUUAUUAGGCUUUCGGCGAAUUCGCAAGCAAAUACAUGCUUUCUUUUCCGGUUCCAGAUUCUUUGUAGCCAACAUCCUACAUCAUGAUCGUGCGAAAGGGAAUGAAAUUAAACAUGGGUGAGAGCUAGACAUUAUUAUGAAUUGGAAAGAAAUGUCAAUAAUGAUAGUAAAAGGUGAAAACUAAAUUUAGUGGAAGCACAAGGAUUAUUUGCGUAAGCAUCUAAAAAUAGGAUGUGAACAAAAACCUCUUUGUAACAUUUGUUUCAAGCAUAAGGUUUGUGUUUGUAAAUAAAUCAUCUCAAUGUAAAUGUUUAAAUAAUUAUCUUAAAAAGUAAAUUUAUAUUAAUUCACUAAUACACCUUUUUAAGUGACAAUGAGAUGUAAGCUCAAUUGGUGUCAAAAAUUGGGAAGAACUACGUACUCUGCUUGUGUAGCCCGUGUCCACUAAAAAAAGAAACUGCGACUCAGUUAUAUAAGAACUAAUAUUGGCUACAGGAUUCAAAUAUCGGGUCAAGCCAUGAAAUUUAAAUUCUUAUGAUUCCUUAAUGCUGACAUGAAUGAAAUGUGUUUCAUUGCAUUGGAGAACUUGAUCUAAUCUCGAUAUAUAAAGGUAGCUCAAUAAUACCUUCAGGGACCUUUAAAUAUUUGAGUAUGCCGCCUCUUUGAUUCCUCUUCGAGACACUCCCCAGAUCUCCUGAGUUCCUCCCCCGACCGCUCUCAAGAUCUCUCUUCUUUGCCAGGCACCAAGUUUGUACCUGUGAUUUUACCUCUUGGUGACGUUUAACAGGAAGGCCUGCAACAUAAUUUAGAGUUCAAAUUAUAUACAUAAAUAUGUAUGUGUAUGUCCAUGGUAUUCAAACAAGAAUAUGUAGGCAAUAUUGUAAGGUCUAAUAAUGUGGUUGGAGUAGGCAUACAACAGUAGAUGAGUCUUUCAAAUAUGCCCAUGGGAAAUUCACUCUCAAAAGCAGCUGGCAUUUCGGCUAGAAGUUGAAGAGUAGAUAUUUGAUUUUUGUCUUUCAAGUUGGCGAGCGAUUUAUCCAGUUCUAGCAACAGUAAAGCUGUUUCUGCAUUCAUGAAAUUAGGAAGACAAAAAUUAUACAAUAUCUUAUAUAUGUAUACUUUUUAAAUUUGAGAAUUCAAUAUAGAGAGGAAUUGUUACCAAAUUUUUUCCCUAGGAUAGCGGCGCUAAGGAUGGACAGGUCAUCUCCCGAUGGAACCGAUCGCUUGCUGUGAGUUCGUAAUAGGCGGCCAUUAUCAUCCACGCAUUGUUCUGGUUUGUGUCUGAUUAAAAACUCUACUAUUUCUGUCUUCGCAAAUCCGGCAGCUGUAAACAAUGGGGUUUCACCGAACUCAUUUGGAAUCGAAAGUAGCUCUGGACAACGUUCUACCAAGAGUCUUACAGCCUCAUAAUUGCCAUAGAUGGUUGCCUCGUGAAGAGCCGUAUUUCCAAAUUCGUUUGUUUUCUUGAGAAAUUCUGUCUCAGUUAAAGGUAAUUCUCUUUUCUUCAUGAUUUCAAGUAAAUCUUUAAGUGGUUGCUCUUCGUUGCUGUGUAUAGCUAGAUGAAGUACAGUAUCCGAAGUGUCCGUAACUGUAGAGGAAAAACAUUCGAUAUGUUCCUGAUAGUAGUUAACCAUUUUUUUCCAGUUUCCUUCCAUGGCUGCUCCAUAAGUUGCUUCCACAUCUCCCUGUUUUAUCUCAAAUGCUCUCUACAUAUAAUUUGUUAGAAUUCAUGAGAGUUUGCCUCUGAAGUUUGAAACAAUCUUAGUUAAACUUAGUCUUUGUUAUUGUUUCAUAUCAGAUUCAUGCUCCUUAAUUUUCUGUUUUCAGUUGGUACGUAGAAGUAGUGCUAAUAAAAUCUGAUAGUAGUUAAGACUUUUAAGUAAUUUCAGUUUGGUUGUAAGCCUAUAAAUAGGCCUUCUCAUUUGUGACAUGUAUUCUGCUCUUCUUCAACUAUUAAGUCUCAAAUUAUUUAUCUCUCCCUGCAAGUUUUAGUCUUUUAUUUUCUGCAGUUUUAACAAAAUUAUGCAAGUAACUAUUGUUAAUGAACAAUCUCAACUCAAAGCUAGUCAAAAUGUUAUGUGAAACUCUAAGAAAAAUUAUAUUAACUCACAACACCGAUCAUUAAUAUAAUGGAAAACAAAAUUCGGAAGUAAAGACUCAAAGAGAACUGCAAGAAUGUCAUGCACGUACAUACCUUUUAGUAAUGGAAAUGUGUUAGAGGAUGAUGGUAGUUUAGGAGGUAGUUUAGAGGUUUUAGUGAUCAGAGAUUUUAGUAAAGGUAGUUUGAUAGUUAAGGUUUUUAGUUGUAGUAGUUUGGUAAAAGAAAGACUUAGUUCGUAGUUUAGAAAUGGUUGAAGGAUGUAGGAUACACAAAGCAAAAACUUCGUUGAUAGUAGAUACAAUACAAGGAUAAGAAUUUAAAAAAAAAAAAAAAGGUUUUUAAGCUUAGCAUAGUUUUUGGCUUACGUUACAAGUGAUGCAUGGUUGCAUGACUAUUUAUAGCCCUCUUAACCAACCUAAAUGGAACAACUUAGACAAACUUUUCACCCAUAGAACUUGCAAGAAUCUUAGGCAAUUCACUAGAAAAUUUUAGAGUUCUUUGAAUUGUGGAUGGGAAUUCUUUCUUUCAUAUAACGUUCCUAGUGUUUGUAUGAUUUCUCUAUAACUUUCCUAACUUAACUUAGCACUAACUUGUAGUAUUUUCUAGAAUUGACCUCUAGAAUCUUCUUUAAAUGCAUAAAUAAUUUAACACUCAUCUUUAAUGUACUUAACUGAUACUAUAAGUUAAUCUCGUAGUGCCUCAAACUUAAUUCACAAAGAGCUUUCGUGAAGAUAUCUGUUAAUUGUUCUCAAAGAAAUCGUUGACUUAUUAUUACAUAAUAUUGUUGUAGAUCCAUUAAUUUCUCGAUAUUAUGUUUAGAUUUAUAAGACCUUACAUUAAGCUUAGAUUGCAAAGCAUUCUUAAUAGAGUCUUGUUCGUAGUACUGAGUCUUUUCUUAUGUACUUUUAAAGAACUUAUUAGUUCAGCUAGUGACAAGAUUGUUAAAUCUUUUGAUUAUUCUAUAGUAGUGACUAUAGAGUCAUUUUCUUGUAAGAUUGAUUGGAAAUUUUUCAACAACCCUUUGAUCAGUAACAUUUUCUCCUACAGAUCUCGUUUGAUUUACCACUACUUUAACUCUUCCAUGAUAAUCUUUAACAGUCUCAGAAUAUUUCAUUUUAAUAUUUUCCAAUUCUCUUCGUAGUAUUUGAAGUCUAAUGGUGCGUACCUUAGAAUCGCCGAGAAACUCCUUCUGCAACGUAUCCCACGCUUGCUUUGCUGUUGAAGCUUCACUAAUCCUAGGAAAAAUUGUAAUCGCUAGUGACUGUUGAAUCAAAUAUAGGGCACUAGCAUCCUUCUGUUUUCUCACCUCUAACUCCUUUUGUUGUGCUUCUUCUAGAAUAGAGAUAUUUGUUGGCUUGUUAAGUCCCUUCUCAACAAUGUCCGUAAGAUUUUGAGACUUAAAGAGUGUCAUCAUUUUUUUUCCCCACAAAUCAUAGCCGCUACCAUCAAAAAUGGGAAGUGGCAUAGAGAUAGAUUGUGAUGAAUUUGUGGUGGCCAUAUAGACUCUAAUGACCACUUACGAUCAAUUGAGCUCUGAUAGCACUGUUAGAGGAUGAUGGUAAUUAAGGAGGUUUUAGUGAUUAGGGGUUGAAAUGAAAGUAGUUUGAUAGUUAAGGUUUUUAGUUGUAAUUUGGAAAUGGUUGAAGGAUGUGGGAUAUACAAAGCAAAAUCUUUGUUGAUAGGAAAUAUAAUACAAGAAGGAGAGUUUU